UUUUUUUUUUUUUUUUGUGGCCAAGGCUUGUGCAUGGAGUAAUUGACAUGGUCUUAAGUUUAAUUAGACACUUUUACCGUAUUUAUUCCAAAUUAAGAAUUUGCAUAAAAUGACAAUUGAUUUCUGAGAGACAUUCUACCUAUAUUACACCCUAGUUUAAUUUUGGUAUUGUUUUGUAGAUAAAAUCAAUUUUCUUAGUUUGCUUUGAUCGAAGAACAUUUGAUCACAAGUAAAAGUUGACUCGUUGGAAUAUAAGCAAGUCCCCAAGUACCAAAAUUAAGAAAUAGGAAAUACGGGGAUUUAAAUCUCUAUGCAUGAUAAGGACAUACAAUUCCCAACGUUUCUCUUUUUGAUAAUACGGGGAUUUCUAACUCAUUGUUGUAUAUUUCUAAUAAGCCAAUAACUCAUUGUUGUAUAUUUCUGAUAAGUCAAUCAUUUACGCUUCCAUUCCUUUUUUUUAACCUUUUUUUAAGUGGAAAAUUUUGAAUUUAAGAUCUCUUAUUUACAAUUUCUCCUAUUUUAUCACCUAACCCAACCCUCGUCGUGCUUCCAUUUAAGUUCAAUUUACCAAAAUUCAAUGUCACAUAGCCAACUAAACUAGUUGUUUUGAUAUAUCGUUAAUCCUUAAAGAAACUAGUAGUUUGAAAUAAUCAAAAGGCCUUAAUCAACCUGUAGAAAUCGGUAACAAAUUACCUAAAAUUAAAAAAGAAAAAAAGGAAGUUUAUACAACAUAAUUCAUGUUUUUGGUGGGAAUCCUCUCGCUUACAUUCUAAAAAUCCAAACUUUCCUAAAAAUAUCGUCAGCAGGUGCGUAGGCACCUAUCUAGGGCGGUAGUAAUUCAGUCUCAUCCAAAUUCUCUUUUGGUCUUUUCAAGUCCUCCCUCCCCCUAGUAUAGAGUAAAUAUAGGUCUAUUAUGUCCGAAAAAAAUAACUCAUUUAAUUCUUAAACUUUUUAUCUAAAAUAUCUUGAGUCCCUGAUCUUUUAUUUUUGUCCGAUUUAGUCUUUUCACUUGUUUUCUAGCAUUUAGAGACACAAACAGACUCUUUCAUCCAAAAAUUUGGUAAUAAAUUUCUGUAAUUACUUAGCUGACAGAUUUAAUAAGGUUUUUCAUCUUAGGUUUGGCCUAGCAAUGAGUCACAAAGGAGUUUUGAGCCUGCCAAAAGGUUGAGACUUCAAAUCUUUUUACCAUAGUUUUUUUUUUUUUUUUCUAGUGGGAAACAGAUGGGAUUUAAAAAGGAGAAGGAGAAUUUGAAUACAGAGUAUCUAGUUGUUGGGAUUUUGAUCUUAACCACUAGACUAAAAUCUCUUCGAUGAUAGUUUUAACUUUGUGACAUACUAGGUUUCACAAAUUAAGCUUGGCACCACUAUAAUUGUAUAGGAAGUUAAUUGAAGCAAUAUUGACAUCUAAAUCCAAAUUAAAACUUUUUUACACCGUCAAUUUCGCUCAACGGGGUAGAAAAUUAACAUUUUGUACUGCUAAUUCAUUUUGAAUAAUUUUGAUACCGUUGUAUAUAUAUAGCCCAAAUUAGAGGUCAUAAUGUGUUCAAAAUGGAUAUUAUCAAAGAUUUAGUUGAACUCAUCUUUUAGUCCAGAACACAAAGAAGCAAAAAGUAGACUUUUUACACCGUAUGGGAUUGGAGUGGGGGGUGCUUAAAGGCUAAAGCCUUAAAACUACAACGGGAAUAUUGGUAAUUUGCCCUAAAAGAAUAAACUUGUUAUUCUAUCAAUCAUUCUCAAAAGUUCAAACUUUAUUAAAUAAUAGAGUUGAAUCAACAAUUUAAUUUAAAGAAUCAGUUCAUUGCCAUAAAGAAACAUUUGACAUCCAAGCGCCAAUGACGUACUUUAUAACCUAAACUAUAUCAUAUUGAACUAAAUAUUCAUUCAUAUAAUCAAGGAUGACAUUUUUGGUAUGUUGUACCAAAUCAUCAGACGUAGUUUGUUUAAAAACUGAUAUUCAAAUCUGCAUUUGGUUUAGUAAUCAAAUGUCGGUCUUGUUUAUCCAAAAAAAGUAAACAAACGCAGGUAGGCAUAAGUACUUUUUUCAAGUAUGUCAAAAUGUAUUCUGUCUCACCUUACAUAUUUUGUCUUCAAGUUUAGGAUACAAUGACAUCAAGAUUCAUUCUUUUGUUAUUUUUUUAUUCUUUUUCUUAGGUGAUUGUACAAAUAUUACCUAUAUGUUGCCUUAAAGUACUAUUUUCAUGAGUUACAUAUUUUCUUUUUCGCCUGCAGAAUCCAAAAAAAAAAAUUUUUAUAAAACACAUCAUCAUUUCAUUAAAUUUGCACUAAUGGUAGAAAUCACACAUCAACAUACACAAAUACAAACAUAUCUGAAUAACAAAUACUUGAUACUAUAGAUCUAGAAAAUUAAUAGAAUAUUACACUGAAACUCUAAAAAAUCAAAAGAUAAUAUACAUAUAGCCCCGGAAUCAUCUGUUAUGCUUCCAACUAUACUACUUGCUUCUCCCAGAUCUGCUAAUGUAUUGAUUGAAGUCCAAAUGUUAAGGUGAGAUCUGACAAGGUAUAUCUAAGAAAUCUCUUAUUCAACAACCAAAUUUGAAAAAAUUUAGAUCUAAUACAAGAAAUAGACUAGCUAUAAAUACUCUCACUAUAGAUCCAUAAAAGAGGAGGAAAUUCUCAUUAGAAAUCUGUAAAAGAAAAGAAAAUCUUGCUAGGAAACCUUUAUUAGGAGAGAAGAUAACUCGCAUUAGAAAUCCCUAAAGAGAAGAAACUCAUAUUAGAAAACUUUAAGGGAGAUUUUAUUGUAAACAUAAAAAACGAAAGUAGGAAAGACAUGGGAGGAAGAGAGAUCAAAGGAGACUAAUUGGCCUCCCUCCUAAGGAAAAAGAUUAUCUAUUUGCUUGGGAAAGAACAGUGAAAGAAGGAGGAGAGUUUUCAACAAGAAUUGUAUUAAUUCUACUCUAAAGGGAUCUGAAUUAGGCUAUAUUAUUAAAAGGUUAGAUCAGGGGCGGAUUUAAGAUGGGGGCACGGACCCCCACUGCCCCCGCUUAAAUUCCUAUAAUACUUAUAUAAUUUUGAUAUAAUUUUAAGUGUGUCCCCAGAGUUUUUUUAGAAAGGAUGUGAACGAAAUACGUGAUUUUCUAAAUUAAUUCAUAAACUAAAAUUCUAAAAAGAUAUGUGGAGCACAAAUUCCAUUUGAAAUAAGUUAAAAAAAGCCUUUUCAUUUCAACUAGCAAGUACCAAUCAUAUCAUUCACUUUCUUUGGACCCUACUCCCCAAUUUCCCUUCCCCCCUCUGGUCCCCCAUUUUCCCCCUAUAACCGAGAGCCACUACCUUCCACAACCAAGCAACUAGCUACUCUUUCUCUUGAUCACUUCAUCCAAUCAUAUUAUUCACUUCCUUUGUCCCUACUUUCCAAUUUCCUUUCCCUCCUCUAGUCCCUCAUUUUCCCUUCACAACCGAUAGCCAUUCUUACUUCCACAGCCAAGCUAGUUAUCAAAAUAUGAAAAUUCGUCGUGAGUAAUUAUAAAUAGUUUAAUUUAUUUUUGAAGUAAAAUUAUUAUUAUAUUAAUAAUUUUGAAUUUGUCUUUUUAUAUUUUUCAUGGAAUAUAUGCAUCAUUUGUACUUGUUGGUGAAUUUUUUUUUAGCUUAAAAAAUUUAAAAAAAAAAAGAGUAGAUAAAAAUUUUAAUGUUACUUUUGCCCCCACUAAGGAUUUUUUCUGGCUCCGCCACUGGAUUAGAUAGAAAGGACUAAUUUAGAUCAGAGGCGUGUACUAUUGCAUAAUUCUUUUGAAUUUUUUUAACUGUAGCCACAAAAUUUCUGGCACCUGAUCUAUAUUCUGAGGAGGGAUUUAUGAGUCCCAUUGUUAUGCAUCAAAUUAAUGUAACCCCUUUCUUAGUUAGGGAAUCAUGCAAACCACUCCAACAAACAUCCAUGAAAUGGUGAGACUCUAAACAAAAACUUCAAAUCAAUUAAUGCUUUUGAAUCGUUAAGCACUAUAAAAAGCAUAUAACAUAUACAUAAUUUAGUGUCCAUUAAGCGAUACAAAACAAUAAAAUAUGGUGAAAAGGAUACUGUGAUUACUUUAUUCAUAAUUUGGAUAGAUGGUGGAAGUUCAAGACUUUCUUAUAUGCACUGCCACUUCGAUGUGAGAGACCAAGCUGAAUUUGGUGAUGUAAUCUUGCAAUACUGACCUCACUUCAAUGAUUAUUUUAUAAAACAAAAACCAACUCAUAAUUGUAAUGUUUGAUACUUGUAGGACAACAAGUGGAGUAAAAAGUCAACGACAUUACUUCAACAUUGGGAUUAAUUUUUGGACAUCAUCAAGUUGAAACCUGUAGAAGAUGUAUGAAGUUUUUCUGCUAGAAACUAAAGGGUGUUUGAAUUUGAUGUAUUCUUUUAUUAAAAUUAAUUCACACUAAAUUGAAAUAUCUUCCAUGGCUUAUUAGGUUCUUUAGAACCUAAAUUAAUUGCUGGAGCCGAGUUGCAAUCCGAGGUCAUUUAUUACCUUGGAUUGUUUGCACAAUGGAUGUAUCACUAUUUUGUAUGUAUGUUACAUAUAUACAUACAUACAUGCAUGUAUAUAUAUAUAUAUAUAUAUGUAAAAGACAAAUUAGUCCAAGAACCAAUUUUCCAUGCUAGUCAAUUGGGAGUGACUGCACUUCGGUGUAACCAAUUUUACACUUGUGGCCUUAACUAAUAUGAGUUCCCUAAUCUUCCCAACAAAGAUAUUAAUUCACAAAUUGGGGACAAGAAGACUUUUUUCCCAAAAAAAUUCUGAAAUUCACGUAACCAAAGGGUUUAAUAUCGUUUUUCCAUCUGAUAUUUGGCCUAAGAGUAAGCCACUAAGGAUUCUCAACGCUCCAAAAGAUUAAGAAUUUAAAUCUUUUAACCAAAGAUUGGGCUUAAUUUAUAACCUAGGUCCCAAACAUUAUGGUAGCUGCUCUUUGAUCAUAGACCAUAAGCUUCAGAAAACAUUUGUGUAGAUUUGGUUCAUAAAUUUAUUUAUAAACCACGUGAUAUAUGUAACAACUAUAGACGUAUAUAAUGAUGUAUUCCCUUUAUCUCGUUAUAAUUGGAACUUUUUAUGCACAGUGAUACAAAUUUGAAUUUGAGAAUUGCAGUCCAUCUUUGCCCUUUUAAUCAAUCCGGAAACUCAUUUGCUGUCUGUCUUUGUCUAUCUUGUUGUAAGAAAAGAUUCCGCAAGUCCCACCUCAAAUAGAAAGACAUUUAUUUAGGCUGCUAGAAACACGCUGCAUAAAUAACCGCCAAAAAUUGUUGUGCCUUCCAUGUGCCACACUGUUGUCCUUUGAGAUAAGUGUUUUUUUUUUUUUUGGAUUCCAUCACAAUUUUUAAUUCUUUUGUCAAUACAUCUCCGGAGGGUAAGUGUGGAACACUCGAAGGAAAAAAUUUCUAAGGUGACUCAAAUUUUGAGAUAGUGAGAAAAGUGAAGUAUGAAAAGGACUGUUGGUCAGCACCAAAGACUUUAAAUCUUGAUGGAGUGGGAGGUUAAUAAUUUAAACCUUACAUCUUAUCACUUGCUACAUUAUCUGGUUUUUUCAAAUUCAUACGAGUGCAUAGUGCAUCGUUCUAGUACGAUGGUGGUUCAGUUCUCGUCGAUUCUCCAUUAGGUUCAGUUGAGCUCCCCCUUUAUUAGGUUAGAGUAGGAGUAAGAGUAGAGUGGAUAAAUAAUGAAUGAUAAUAAAAAAAUGAAAUAUGACAAUAAUAAUGGAACGGAAGAACUAUGAUACAUAAGAAAAGUAAUUGUAGAUAAUGUAAGAAAUUCUAUUUAUUUGUUACAUAUAUCACGCGCAACGGAUCUUCUGUUCCACACUCUGUGUCACUCUCUGUCCCAAUUGUUAUUUAUAUUACUAUUUCUCCUACGUAAACAUCAUGUUUUAGUUCUUUUUUGUUUUCUUAAAAUUCAAUAACUAUUAAUUGAGUAAAAAAAUAAAUACAACAGUUUCAAAAAAUCAAUAUAUAAUAGAAAAUUAAAAAAUAUAGCAGAAAAUUCACAAAAAUCUCAUUUUUUAUGAAUUUUGAUUUUUUGAGUUUGUUAAAUUUUGUGUAUUAUUCAAUUAAUAGUUAUUGGAUCUUGAGGAAACAAAAAAGAACUAAAAUAUGAUGUUUAUGUAGGAGAAAUAGCAACAUAAUAAAAAGUGACACAGAGAGUGGCACAGAGUGUGGAACAAAAGCUCCGUUGCGUAUAUCACAUGAUUUACAAACAAAUUUGUAUACCAAGCCUAGACGAAUUUUUGCCUACACUUUAUAACCAAAAGUGUUGUUCGGUCUCUUUAAAUAUAUGACGGUCUAUGACUUUUUGGGCGUAAAAAACCUAUCUACCCCGCCUACCUUGGCAUUUGGGAAUUAAAUACAUCUUGUAUGGACCGUAAAAUGCUUAAUUAAUGCUUUAAGUAAAAAUCAUUCUGCGUUUUUCAAAUGUUAUGACACCAAGUGCAGCUGUCAAUAAUGAUCAACGCAAAGGGGUGCACGGCUCAAAAUCAUCAUAGUUAAUUAGUUAUAUCUAUUGUUAACCAUUAGUAUUUAAAAGCUUUAACAAAUGUUACCAUGACUAAGUCCAACUAAGUAGGGAUAUUAGCCACAUAAUUAGUGAUACCAUUGAUUCGGCUCCCAAACUUUUUUUUGUAGGGUUUAGAGCUUUCCUUGAAAAUGAAAAUAAUAAACAAAAGAGUUUUAACAAAUUAUUAGGAAUAUAUACAUGUAUAUGUGACAAUAGAGAACACCUGCUUACAGUGACAAAGUCAAGACCCUAGGGUGGAGGGCUCAAUCUCCGACAGCACAUGAAAUAAAAGUUAUAGUAGUAUAAUUAAAACUUAAAACUAACAGAUGCUUGCGUUAAACGUAUUUUUUUAUAAGUUCAAUAAAUUUUGAAGUUCAUAUUAUACCUAAAUUUAUAAAUAGUUCGAUCCAAAAUUCUUGUGUAUGACAACAAUUAUAAAAUUUUUGGGGAUCAAUAUAGGUAGAAAGAGAAUUUGCUAAAUUUUAGUGGGAUCAAAUGAGAGGGAACUUUAAAAUUUUCUAAUUUUUUUAACGGGAAAAUCGUUCAAAACAUCCUUCAUACUUUGCAAGAUAAUUUUUUUCGUCCCUUACUUUUAAAAGUGUAAUUUUACGUCCCUUACAAAUUCAUAUUGAUCAAAUUUGGUCCUUACCUAGGUUUCCAACUAGUUUUGGUCAGAAUCUACCACGUACCUUACAUGUGAUUAUUUUUUAAGGGAAAAAUUGUCAAAUCAAAUUUUACAUAAUUCGAUUCAUAGUCCCUCACAUUUCGCAAAAUGAAUUUUUUCAUCCAUAACAUUUUACAAAAUGAAUUAUUUCGUCCCUUACAUUUCACGAAAUGAAUUUUUCCAACCCUCACAUUUUUCAAAAUGAAUUUUUUCAUCUUUCAUUAAUCAUGUGUACGAAUAGCUUUUUUUUUCUUUUAAAUCCAUGUAAAUAUCUAUUUGAUUUCACCUGAGCAGUACGAAUAACAUGUAAUAUAUCUUUAUUUGAUUUUGCUUAAAUAGGUUAAUCGUAACUGUACAUAUGCUAUUCAACAUAUAUAUACAGGGGUUUAAAACUAAUAAUUUUGUUUUAAACCACGUAUAUAUCUAGAUGAUUUCACUAUAUGAACCUAUUUAACAGUUGUGACCUUUCUCUUUUAGUAAUGAUUUAUUUAUUGAGUUGUAUAAUAAAGCCAUCUAAUUAAUGGAUCCUAAUUUAAAUUCUAUAGCCGGGCUAACAAAUUGUAGUUUAAAUCUGAAAUUUCUACUCGCCACUUUUAAGACAAACAGUUGAAUUACUUGCCUUGUGAUUGUCUUGAAAUUUGAAAAUGCCAUUCACUUUCUUCUUUUUGUCAUACUUUUCCUUUGUUUAUUUUUUCAGUUCAAAUUUAAUUCGAUAUAAACACUCGAUAAUGUUUAGGAUUAAAUGUGUUCUUUGUUUUCAAUUUUCAAGUAACAAAAUGAAUAUGAGUAAAAAACUAAUAAUUUUUUUAAAAUACAUAUAUAUAUCUAUUUGAUUUCACCUAAAUAGUACGAAUAGCAUGUAAUAUAUCUCUAUUUGAUUUCAUUAGGUGAAAUCAAAUAGAGAAAUUAAAUAGAGAUAUAUUAUGUGUUAUUCGUACUGCUUAGGUGAAAUCAAACAUAAAUAUACAUGUGUUUAAAAAAUUUAUUUGAACACAUGAUCAAUAGGGAUGAAAAAUCCAAUUUGAAAAAUGUGAAGAAUGAAAAAAUUCAUUUUAUAAAAUGUGAGGAAUGAAAAAAUUCAUUUUGUAAAAUGUGAAAGACUAUGAAUCCAAUUAUAUAAAAUUUAAUUUGACAAUUUUGCCUUUAAAAAAUAAUCACAUGCAAUACACGUGGUGGAUUCCGGCCAAAAACUAUUCGGAAACCUAGGUAGGGAUCAAAUUUGAUCAAUGUGAAUUUGUAAGGGACGUACAAUUAUACUUUUAAAAGUGAGAGACGAAAAAAGUUAUUUUGCAAAAUGUGAGGUACGUUUUGAAAAAUUUUCCUUUUUUAACCUUGAAUACCAAUUUUUUCAAAAUUAAGUGCAGAGAGUUGCUCCCACUUGGUUGCAUGUGGCUCCGCCUGCUUGCGUAAGCCCUCACAUAAACCAAACAAGUUUCUUCUGACCCACAAAGUCGCCUGUGAUGUCUAUACUUUGGUGGCAAAGAGCUGAAAAGUUGUUAAUUAAGUCACUUUGUCACAAAGUUUGACAUCAUCGACCAUCUGCUGUACUCAAAAUAUUUAUUUUUAUACCCAAAGAAAGAAAGAACAGAGGUGGUCUACUUCAUGAAAAUGUGACAGCUAGAUUUGGUUGGCCUGAGCCACAUGCAGUAUCAAAUUUGGAAUCUAAUACUUCCUUUCCUUGGUGGCUGCUGCCUUAGAGAGAUUCCAUGUAUCUAGGCGUCUCGCUUGAAAGCUUAGCUCCACCACCCGUGAUUGUGGCCACAGGACUUCUACCCCUAGUUUUUGUAGUUUUAGCCUUCUUUUUUCUUCUUUGAUUCCGACAGCUUCCACCCACCAUACGAUUUCUACCCUUAGUUUUUGUAGUUUUAGUCCUUUUUUUUUUACCUUUCUUUAACGACAGCUUGUUUUUUAGUUUUACUUGUGAUAUCAACUUGCUCAUAAAAAAGAUAAAUCUUUUAUACAGGAAUAUUAUAUACACUAGCUAGUAAUUCUAGAUAUAUGUCACAUAUAUAAAAUUUGGUGUCUAAAUUCAAAGUGAAAUAAUGUGACAUGCAUUCAAACUCGUUAAUGUAUAUACUGAUGAUAUAGAAAAGAUUAAGAUUUUUAUAUAUUAGUUUAGCUUACUAAUUCCCAUUAGACGGAAAUUUUACGCAUUUUGGAUGAGUUUGUGUGAUUAUGCACUGAUCUAUGAGAAUGAAAUUUAUGAGUAAUUUCCAGACGAAGAUUAAAAUUCUAUUCUCUUGAAUGUCAUACUCAAGGUACAUAAAAAUUUUGCCGUGAUUUUCGUGGGUAAAUUUGAUAGUUGUUUUUUUCAAUUAAAUUUUAAGGUAAAUUGUUUAAUAAGAUGAAGAAUGAAGUUAUAUAUCCUAUGCAUGGUGCAUGCCACGCUGCUCUCCAUGCAUUUAUCAUUUUUCUCCCCUUUUCUGUUCAACUCUGAGCAAUCGGUGUAAUUUGGCACCUUUUGAUGACUCUUAAAAUUAUAAGUGGCAAGAAGGUUGUGUUUGGAUUGCAUUUUCCAUGAUUUUUCAUGAAAAAAUUACUGUAGCGAUUUGAUGUAUGUGAGGGAAAAAGAUAAUAGGGAAAUGUGAUCACGGAAAACGACGUAAUUUUCUGACGGGAAAUCGCAAUCCAAACAAGACCUAAAACUUCAAGAUGUGCAAAGCAAAUUUUAUAUGUUUGGAAAUUAAUUUUAACUAUUUAUGAUGCUUAAAUUCCAGUAAAACAAACACAUAGAACCAAUUAAAUUCCAUUUUGUGAUUUAAUUUCAACUUUUUAUCUACUUUUAAUCUUAUAAGGAGGAACACAUGACAUUUUAUUCUUGAACAUCAAAGAAAUUUAGUGUGUUUGGAUUACAAUUUUCUAAGCAAAAAUUUUUACAUUUUCCAUGAACAUAUUUUUUAACACUUUUACCUCACAUACAUCAAAUCGAUGCAACACUUUUUUCUAAGAAAAUUUAUAGUCUUAUUUUAUUUUCGUGUUUUUCUCUUGUUGACUUUUUCUUUUUCUCAAACACUUAAAAGGUGGUGCUCUUUUUCAUUUGCUCUUUGGAUAAAUUUUUUGCACCCCGUCGGUGCAUACACAAUGGUAUUGGAUGCAUGCCACAUCAUCUAUUUUCAAAUUUAGAAUUCAAUUUUUACAUGUCUGACAUUACAUCUACAACUACUAGUGUGAAAAAAAAUUACAAAAAAAAACUCUACAAUGAUAGGGUAACUUAAUCCUUGUUUUCUUAAAUUUUUUCCUAACAAGAAAGGAUGGGUUUUAAUAAGUGAAGAGGGACAGGAGGAUUUUACUAAGGAUGGGUUUUCGGAGCCUCAAGCUUAACCCUUGUUUUUCACAUGGCAAAUCAGGUUUACCAUUUAUGUAUCUUCUCGACUCUCAAGAGGACAUGCAUCAUUAAUUUCGUUGUACAAUCAGUGAACAGGAACUGCAAAACAAAGAAAAGUAAAAAGUGUACUUCUCUUGACCUUUUCUAAUCGAAGUUAGAGUUACGAUUUUUACAAACCUAAACACCAGAAGAACCUCUAAAAGCCGGCAACUUUUGGAGGUCUCCAGGAGACUUAUAUCUACCCAACCCAACCCCAAAGUAAAAAGUGUACUUGCAAUGUGAAUUUUCAUGCAACACGUUAAGCCUAACAACGACGUUUCAGAAGUAGACCCUUCGACAUUUAUUGUAGCAUUGACAAUUUAUUCCCAAUCAAGGUCAAGGAACGAAAUCCUUGAUUCCCAUUCAUUUCUAAAUUUUUUGAAAGUUUUACCGAUGGAGGUACAGUCAUCCAUUUGAUCUGAUUGUAGUUUAAUUUUUUUUAAAAUUUUUUUGAUCCAUUUGAAUCCAUCCCUUUUUCUUAGUGUAAAGUAGGAAUUGGAGUAGAAUAGGAAAUCAAUCAUGUCAACAAAAAGAAAAAGACAUUUUAUUCCCAUUGCCAACUUUGUCAUAUUCCCAGUGGCCAAUUGUUCCCAUAUGAAAGCAAUGGAUGAAUAAGACCUAAUUGCACUUGCAAAUUUCCACUUUUCUUGGUGACUAGUUGGGCAACUCGACGCAAUAGUCGGGGAGGAUUCAAAGGUUCAAGAUUCAAAUUAUGAGUCUAACAGUUGAUUGUGAAAGGGUGUGCGGACGAGUACGAGGAUUAAAAAAAAAACACUAGGUAAUUAGGAAUUUUAUAUGUUAGGACAAUUAGUUCAUCCUAAAAAUCCAAGUCAACACUAAUUUUAUUGUCACCAUGCAGAGUAAGAAUGAUUUGCCCAUUUAGUACUUCUUAAGCUAAUUUUGAAGUCUCACAAAGGUUGCUCAAGUUUUAUUUAUAACUUGUUGGUCUUGAAUUAUUUAUAAAAUCUCACCAAAGUUCAUCAAAAUUUUACCUUAAAACUUUUUUCUCCAUAUAAAAAUGGACUAAGCUUGACAACCAUCCAGAAAAUAAAAAUGGUAGCAACGCUAUGAAAGUAGGGAACAUGAACUACAAAGUUAGAGAAAAUUUUUUUUGGCCAAUUGGCUUUUCUUGGAUUGGUGAUUCUUUUUGCUAUCUUGUAGUCUAACCUUUUUCUCUAUAAUGCCUUGUUUCCUGAAGAAAAUAAAGAAACACAAAAAAAGAGUUUUUAAAUGCAAAGAAAUAUUUUUCAAAAAGCUUGAGCAAUCGGCAAAAUAAAAUCUGCCUAGUGUGAGAUACUACAAUAGAGUAUGCUUGAUCACCUCUUAUAUGCUAAGAUUAACUUUCAGUAGACAUUAAUAUUUCUGACAAAUGUGUCCCUAAAUUAUUUCAUCGACCAAACAAAAAAAUGGACUGUAUUUUUCUGUCCUGGUUUUUCUUUAACAAGAAAAAGAUGAGAAAGGAAAGAAACACUCAUGCAAAUAUUUAGUUGGAUACCAAAAUUUCUCAUCAAAAUUUGUUGAAUUGGCUUAGCUUGACCUCCUUUCAAACUCAAUACUACUAAUGUCUGCAUGAUGUCAUAAUUAUUUUAUAUUUUUGUAAGUUUCAGAAAUAUUAAAAUUAAGUUAUUGGUUAUAUUGGACCAACCAUAUAAAAUAUUCCAAAAAUAUCAAUCUUGCAAUUAAAUAUACACCUAAAAAUUAUAUAUAAAAAUGUAAAUUCAUGUCCAAAAUAUGUCUAUUCUCCAAAACCACUUGAAAAACUGAAUUAAAACAAAUCACACCCAAUUCAGGAUCUUUUUGUUGGGAAUAUGGCUUUAUAAUGUAGAUUGGAAUUGCUGAAUGAUAAGGAUGACAACUUCUUAAUUUAGAGAUCAUUUAGGAAAGCAAGUGAUUUUUGUAUUUACACUAAAUGGGUGGCAUUUUCUUAUUUCUAUUGAUAAAUGAAAGUUUUACAAUUUAGGUAAUUGAAAUUAUGUUUGAAUAAAACAAGAAAGAGAAGUUUAAGAACCAAGUCAAGUAGUCGAAUCGGGUCACUGGUUUGGCCAAUUUUUGAUGGUUUUGACUAGCUUUUAACCAAAGCGAUUUAUUUUAUUAGCCAGUUCGAAAAAAAAAACCGGUUUACAAUCGAAGAGGUCAAACCAACUAGUCCAGUUCGACUCUAACAACAUUAGUUAAACUUACAGAAUCUUCGGCUACCUAGAUAAAUCAGGUCAAAAUCUGCAAAUGUCAAUCACAAAUUCACAAGAUAGUAUACUUAUUAACAUAAUAAAUGUAGACCAAAAAAUAUGAAUGUAUAAAAAUAUUAGAAAUAUUGUAACUUUCUGAAAGUUGCAUCCCAUAAUAAAUCUGAUCUAUCCAAUUUCAAAUCGAAUCAAUGUCCAGCGUUAAUUGUAUCAAGAUUAAAUCUAGUCAAUACAAAUGAAUUGCUAUGCAAAUCAAUCCACAUCUUAGGUGAAAAUUUUGAAAGAGUCUUAGUAUGGUCACCGAGAAUAAAAGCACGAAUGGUUGCCCAUGCAACCAUUUCAGACGGUUAACGGUUAAGAUUGACAUAAAUUCUAAAUAUUGAAAAAUUGUAGACUACACUACAGAACGAUCAUAGGUGCAAUCUUUUCGUAAAAUCAAGGGUCAAGAUUGGUCUAAAUUUUAGAAUCUAAAAAUUUAUACAAUUCACUUGAUACUUGAUACAAAUGCCAUAUGUGAGACUUGCAAAAAAAAUAUUGUAAAAUUGUAUGUUGAACAAAAUAAUUUAUGAUAAUAAAUCAGAUAAUUUACAAUUUGUUAGAAAUGUUAAUACUAUAUCUUUCUGAUUUUUGCAACUGAAAACCGUGGCCUUUGUGAAUCUCUAUUUGUACAUGACGUGCUGGGGGCAUGAUACAAUUUACAGGAAAUGGGGAUAAAAUUAAUUAUAUUAAAGCCCUUCAACAUAUAUUACUAUGUAAAUGGAGAUUUUUUUAGUUUUAGUUUUAGUUCUACCCUCCAAAAAUUUGGGUUUCCACAAUGUAACAUUGUAAGAGUAACUUUUCUAAUUAUCAUCUUGAGCUUCCAAAAUUACCAUGUUGUGGUCUAUUAAAUAUAAUAAAUUAAGGGAAAUGUUGAUUGCACUUUCAUUUUGUUAAUCACACACUCACUAUCAUUUUUAUCAUAUGGUUUUCAUUUAUGAGACUAUCUGAAAAAAACUAAUGGUGGGAUUGCGACUAACAAAAAGUGAAGUGUGAUUAAUAUCAUAUUUUAUCUUAUUACCACUCAAGUAGUUUAGUGAUUAUAACUGUUCAAAAUACACAUAAAUUUGGUAGGACAAAAUUUGAUUUCCCAUCCCACCACAUAAGAUCACAAGGGACCAGCAUAAAAAACUCCACCUCCGCACCAGCGGAUGUUGGUGCAAAUGGAAUAGACUUGCACUCCUUAACCUUAGGUUUGAAAUCUAUGGAAAUAAAAGGGCAACAUCAGGAAAGUUUCUCUCCACAAAGGGUUUAACCUGACUCAAACAGAAUUAGUCGCAAAUUAUAAAACGGAUGCUGAUAUUUGUGGUUUAUACCAAAACAAAAAAUGAAAAAACUCCACCUCCUCUAUUAACGAUUGCAAAUUGCAGAUGUUGAUUAGCUCCUCAGUUCGGCUGGAACCUUUGGGUUGCCAGGAAUAAGGCAAUAUUUGAACCUCAACUAAGAUUUAAUGCUCAUCAGAGGAGAGCACCCUUGCUAUCACUUUUGAAUACUCCUCUUUGGAACCGAAUCAGAAUUUAGUGAGUAGUAAAUGAAGGUUUUUUUUUAAGAAAAGAAACAUUUAUUCAAUACAUUUUUUAAACAACGCAUUCACGGGACGCAGUGUUUAAGAAAUUAUACAUAAGAAAAAUGAAAAGUUACAUACAUCGAAAAAGUUGCAUUUGCUAAAUACAUUUUUCACUCGAAAAGAUAUAAAAAAAAAAAAACAUCAUUCUUUGGGAAUUCUUUUUAAGAAGUAGCACUUUUUGAGAUUUUACUCGGUAGAUGAGUAGCUAGACUCUCCAGAAAUCUUCGUUAUGCUGCUAAUAUUUUGGCGGAGUUAAAGGGAGAUAAGAGAUGGAUGAUCUCUUGCUAAAUCUCUAAAUCAACAGGCUGUGGAGAUUGAAGUUGAUGCACUAUGUUGCGAUUGAUUUGAUGAAAACUACUAACGUUACAACCCCAUGAAAUAUGCUUCUAUUGUUUAAGCUGUACUUAAGCAUGCCAACUUAGAGGCAAACAUAUGUGGCAAAAACGACAGCUCAUCAUUGGAAUGCACUUAUAAGAAUGGACUCUAAAUCACGACAUUCUUUAAACGGUAGGCACAAAUAUGAGGUGGGUAUCCAUUAAUUAGUUUUUGUCACUUAAGUCGUAUGUCAUUUAACAUAGGAUUUUCCUUUCCAACGUGUGUUGUGCAACUUCUUGUUAGAUAUGUUUUCCUAUUUUGUAAAUGUUGAAUAGUGUUUUAAUGAUAUCUGAAUUAACCUUCUAAAUUAGGCUACAAGGGUUGCGGGUCGAUCUAAAGUACAAAGUGAAUUUUACAAAUCUAGCAAAUUUCAAAAAUGUUGUCCAAUCUUCCUAUUUCAACCCAUACCAAAAGAAUUGAACAAAAAUGUAAUUAUUUACCAAACCAAACCACCAAUUGGUUGGAUUGUGUUGAUUUGUGGGCUCUUUCUUAGAUUGUGUUUUGCACUAGGAUUUCGAUUAUCUUUGAAUGUUUCUAAUUUGACUGUUCUUGUGUGAUUUCAACUUGUUGAAAAAAAAAAAAAAACCAAACCAAACCAAACCAAACGAGAGAGACUCUAGAGUGAAGGGAUGAAACCUGGGAAAGAAACGUACGCUCCUGAGACUCUCUGAAUAAGCCAAUAAGCAGAAAAGGAAAGAAUCAUUUCUUCCUAUAUUUCUAUUUUCAGUAAGUAAGCUGUCCCUGAACGGCUGAAGUCAGCAGCCGUAGAUUCCCCUACCGGCAAUUUUCUCUUUCGCAUUUUCUUUUCUCAGACUUACCCAAUUAUGACUCUACUUCUGUUUUUUCUUUUCUCUCUCCGCCCCUCUCUCUCUCUUGUGUGAGCUCAGCCGCAAUUUUGCUUUAGUUUCAAGAACAGCCCUUCAUCUUUCUCUCUCUCACACACCACGCAACAUACUCAGCCUUCCAUUUUUGUCGACAUCUAUCCAUGUAUUUUUUACUUAUUAACAGAUGCAAAGUACAAUAGUAAGUUUUUUCUUUUUCUUUUUUUUUAUUUGAGAGAGUAGAGUAGUAAGAUAUUAGUCAAAGAAUUUCUGGUCUUUUUUCGUUUUAGGCUGUUGCUUUAUUCAGUACUGAGAUUUUUUUUUUUCUAUGUAUGACCCUUUAUUUUAUGUAUGUGAUGAAUCUGGACAUGGUUUUAUCGGAGUUUCUGAGCUAUGUAUUAGCUGCGCAUAUGGUAGAGAAGUGGGAUUUUCAUUUGAUUUGUUGUUUGUUUGGUAAUUCUUGGACUUUUUUGAAAACUCUUUUCCCAAAGCACUAAUUCAAGGCUCUGUCCUUUUUUUUCCUGUUUUCGUCCCAUCUUGCAGAAUUCAGGCUUUUUAUAGGCGGAAAUAUCUUUUGCCAAUUUUCUGAAUCCCUCAGGUCAGUCCUCCCUCAAAGCUGCACUUUGUUCUUUUCUGAGGCUCAAAGAAUAUAAAAGGGAUUUAAGAAAACUUAUUUGUCUGGUUAUUGAUGAUAUUUAUGCUACAAAACUGGUUCUGGAGAGUGAUUUUCAUCAUAGUUUUUCAGGGUUUGGUGUGGAUAGCGAUAGAUUGGUCGAUUGGAUUUUUCAAGCUGGGAAUUCUCAGUGGAGAGGAGCUGAGUUUAGAUGAGUUUGAGGUUGAAAUGUUGGGUUCUUGGCGUUCAAGUAGGGGAAGAUUUUAGGGACGGAGGUUUUGGUUUGAGGAUUUCGAGGAUUCUUUAACAUUUGCUGAACUAAUAUAGAAAUAGGAUAAAUCCUCUUUUGUGGAGGGUUGGAUUUUACACUUUGUCUUUGCUUUUAUAAUUUUGGGUUGUAAAAAAUGGAGUACCCUUAUCCAUCUACGGAAAAGGGUGGUUUUUGGGCAUCGCCUCGGGCUCAGAAAGAUGGAAAUGCAUCAUUUGAUGGAAGUACUAGGACCUGGAAUUUGGAAGAUUCGUUUCAAGAAUUGAUGAAUUUCGAUGCAUAUGCCGGAUGGUGUAAUAGUCCAAGUUCAGCGGACCAGUUUUUCGGUCCUUUUGGUUUGUCUCCCAUGAGUUCAAGUUAUGUGCCUUUAGAUGGAAUGAACUUUGGAGAACAGAGUAUUGAGGGCUUCCGGGUGGCAGAUGGUGAAACCGGGGGAAGUUCUUCUGGUGGGGAAGAUAAAAUGAUCCGUCAGGAUUUGGAGAACCGGUUCCAUGUUCCGAUGGAUACAGCUAGUGAAGGGGUUGACCUCACUGGUCGAAAUGAUAAGAGCUGUAGACAGCAUGAUGAUGAUGUUGUGAACACGGUGAACUCUUUGAUUUCAAGGCCACCUUCCCAAACUCUUCCUGAGAAAAUGCUCAAGGCGUUGUCUCUGUUUAAAGAGUCAGCUGGAGGGGGUAUUCUGGCGCAAGUUUGGAUUCCAAUUAGGGAUGGUAACAGAUACAUCUUAAGCACUUGUGAACAACCUUAUUUGCUUGAUCAGGCUCUCUCUGGUUAUCGUGAAGUGUCCAGGGCAUUCACUUUUUCUGUAGAAGUGAAACCAGGGUCUUUUUUGGGGCUUCCUGGACGUGUAUUUGCCUCUAGAGUUCCAGAGUGGACAUCGAACGUUAUGUAUUACAAGGAAGCUGAGUAUUUGCGAGUGCAACAUGCUCUUGACCAUGAAGUAUGUGGAUCAAUUGCUUUCCCUGUUUUUGAGGAUGAUUCCUUUGAUUUGUCAUGCUGUGCAGUGCUGGAACUUGUCACAAUUAAAGAACAGCCACACUUUGAUUUGGAGAUGGAUAGUGUUUGUCGUGCACUGCAGGUGAAUCUUUGUGAUCUUUUGUUGUCUCAUAUUGCUUCUAGAUUAUGUUACUUUAUGCUUUUCUAUCAGAGCUCGUAACUAGAUAAUUUGGCAAAUUUGAUCUCUGUGUUACCUGCAAAACUAUCAUUGAGGGUGCUCAUAGAGAUGCCAUGUGGUGAAGUGGAUGCAAUGAACUUUAAAAUGCUUGUGCAUUUCCUUUUCAGCUCUUUUCUUUUUGUUUUGUUGGGGGGGGGGGGGGGGGUUGGUUGUUGAGGUUCAAGGUGUCAUAGGUGCACUUAGUUCACAUUGAUGAUUCCGUUUUGCCAUCUUCAGAUUAUCUUUUAAAUAUGUAAUCAGAAGUUAAGAGAGUAAAGCAAGAAGUUCAUUGACCAUACAUGGUUAAGGAGGAUGAGGGUCAACCUGAAGUUGGACUACUUGCUUCUGCAAACGAGAGUCGAUUCUAGGGGAAGGAGAUAUUUUCAUUAAAUUUUUGAAAAAAUAUUGCUUAAGGUGAAGCUUUGAAUGGUUUUCUGCUCCUGCUUUUCUGACAGUUUAUUCUAGUCCUGUUUUUUGAUGAUUGAUGUUUUCUAAAUAUUUCGGUCAUUUUUGGCAGCUUAAGGAAGAUGUCUUCCAUUUCCGGGCCCAUAUACUUACCCACCCAACACCCCCCCCCCCCCAAAAAAAAAAAAAACUCAGCCUGUUUGCUGGACCUCCACAGUUUUGAAGCAUCUCAAUAGCUUGAUUAGAAUGAGUAUUAACUGUGACAUCUACGAAUAUGAAGCAAAUUUAUGGAACUUAUCACUAGGCAUGAUGGUUUUCUACGAUGCUUUAGCUAAACUGUCCACUAUUAUCUGUUACACUUUUACCGACCUUGACUGGAAAGAGAAAGUGGGAAUGGGAAGGCAGGAUUUCUCAUGCAGCUGGUCUUGCCUUUAGCAUGAUUAAAGGUGCAAGGGAAACCAAAGUUGAUGAAACUUGUUUUUUAAGUAUGGAAUUGCACAGUGUACAAGAGAUUAAUACGUAAGCAUAAUUAAUAUAUAUUACUAUUGAGAAAGCUUUUUUGGGUCUAACCACCCGGUAUCCCUUUCGGACUAAUCCGGAUUCGGCCCGGGGAGCGCCCGCAGAGUUUGACUCUUACUCGAGGGUGAAGGCCUGGCCCUGGAGUUAUCGCAGGAGCGCAGCGAGGAUCGAACCUUGGUCGUCCUGCUCGCAUUACCAGCCGCUUACCACUGGCCCCAACUCCUCGGGUUUCUAUUGAGAAAGCUUUACAGAUUUGAAAAGAAAGUUACUUCUCAUGAUGAUUAAUACUGUCAGAAUUCCCCAUUGGUGAUUUGUUUUGUAGAAAAAUUUUGGUACAUACAGAUUUUGCAAAUAUAAUCUGUGAUACCAAGGGUCCUGAGGGUGUAGGCUAGGGAAGCCAAUGACUUCUUCUGAUUAAAAAAUCGCAUGGAUAACCUGCCGCCUGCUUCUUAGAGAUCAUGUUAAACCACAUAUCUGUUUGUUGGCCAGUAAGUUAAUUGUGAAGAUAUCAAGUUAGUUAUGUUCAUUUUUCCAUUUUUUUUUGUUUCACUUGGAUUACAAACUGAAGAAAGGUUGAAUUGAUUUUUGUAAUUCAACAUCAUACUCCUUAAAUGUUUAUAGUAUCAAUUUGUCUGUGUCUUCUUUUCCUUUCCAGAUGUAUUUUGUGCUUGCAUGAAUAAGUUGGUAAUCAAUUCAAUGCUCACUUAUAAUCUUCUAUAUGUAGGAAAAAUUUAUUUAGUAUGACUAACAUCUUCUAAUCACCUUUUUCAUUUUUUUUGCCUCUUGGAGGACAAUUUAAUUCAUGAAACAUUGUAUGAAAAGUGUCAAGCUUAACUGUUAGUUAAUGGUUUCAUAGUAGUUAAGUGGAUUGCUACACAUUAUAGGGAUAGUGGAGUUCGCUUGUCUAUGGAAGUAUUUGUUAGCUAAGUGCAAUAUAUCCUGCUCUUUGUAGUAUCUUUUAGAUGCUUCUAACAUGUGAGCAACAUAAGUAAUUUGUAUACAAAACUCCACAUUCGUUUUUAUUUAAAAUUCCCAAUGGAUGGCUGUUGAUGCCUGUUGGUAUGUACACUGUGCUUUAGGUGUAAUCUGAACUUUGGUUGAAUCAAGUACCCUUCCAUGCAUUUGACUAUGCUAUUUGAUUGGACAAGUCAUUAACAUGACUUGGUGCCUAUAACUGACCCAAUUUUGUGGCUUGUCGAAUUGAAAAUGCCAAAUUGUUUUUAGUAUGAUGGCAGUAAGCUGUAACACCAAAUAGAUACAUGUUAUUUCCAUGAGAAGCUAAUCUGCUCUCUUGUGUGAAUCUUGUGUUUUGCUUAGAGAGAAUGGAAUUUACUUUUGACAGAUGGAAAGAGCAAUAAUUGAUGUGUGUUGCAGACAUCAGAUCAAGAACCUCUGCUUCUGAUUAUGAAUAUAGUAACUUCCUAAACUCAACUGCCUCUUAAUGACAGUAAAUCACAGACCAAGAGAGGACAUUGUAAAUCACAGACCAAGAGAGGACAUUGUAAAUCACAGACCAAGAGAGGACAUUGUAAAUCACAGACCAAGAGAGGACAUUUUUUCCCAUUGAACAUAGGUCCUUUGAUAAAUGAUAAGAUGAAUUGGUAAAAAAUUUGCAAUUCCAACUGAUUAAUUGUCCAUACAUGUAAGCAUUCUUCUUUGUAUGACAAUAAGAAAUUAAAAUUAUGGGAGCAUUUAUGUAAGACACUGCAAACAUGGAUGUGAAAGCUCAUAAUUCUUUGUUUCAAUUUUCUUAUCAUGAUUAAAGAGAGUCAUGAAAAUGUUAAUUGAAGUAUUUGUAUUAUUGUUGUUGUAGACAUGUCUAGUUUUUGCUUGGAAUUGGCAUUGUAUGUCCUAGGGAAUCUGAUCCUUUUUAUAUUUAGACACUGGUUAUUUUUUGUUUUAUUUUUUAGCCAUGAGAUGUAUAGUAAAUUGGUCUUUUAACCAUUUGCAGGCUGUAAACUUGAGGAGUGCUGCACCACCUCGACUAUAUCCCCAGGUAUCAUGAAGAUUUCUUGAUUGGAGAAUUAAACUCUAUUAGGAAAAAGAGAAUUAAACUCUAUUAGGAAAAAAAAAAAUUAACUCUAUUAGGAAAAAAAAUAGUCUUGCAUGUUCAAUCUAAUUGGAUUGUAAUGCGGCUUCUGCUGUUGGAUGAUUUGCAGUGUCUAUCGAAGAAUCAAAGAGUUGCAUUAGCUGAGAUAACUGACGUUUUACGAGCUGUAUGUCAUGCACAUAGGUUGCCUUUGGCUCUGACAUGGAUCCCAUGUAGUUACACUGAAGCUGUUGAUGAACCUGUAAAAUUACGCAUUGGAGGAAGUGCUGCCAGUUCUAAUGAAAAUUCCAUACUGUGCAUUGAAGAUACUGCUUGUUAUGUCAAUGAUCGAAGUAUGGAAGGAUUUGUGCAUGUGUGCAUGGAACAUUAUCUUGAGGAAGGACAAGGUAUUGCUGGGAAGGCUCUUCAAUCUAAUCAUCCAUUCUUCUUCCCUGACGUGAAAGAUUACCAUAUAAGUGAAUAUCCGCUUGUUCAUCAUGCACGUAAAUUUAACCUGAAUGCUGCUGUAGCAAUUAGGCUAAGGAGCACGUAUACUGGUGAUGAUGACUACAUAUUAGAAUUCUUUCUUCCUGUCAAUAUGAGAGGGAGUUCAGAGCAGCAGCUUCUGUUAAAUAACCUCUCCAGUACUAUGCAGCGGAUCUGUAGGAGUUUGCGGACAGUGUCAGAUGCAGAAUUGAUUGGGGGAGACGAUAUUAAAGUUGAGUUGCCCAAUAGGUCAGUCAAUAACUUACCUACAACUGCAUUACCGAGGAACUGCUCUCAACAAUCUCUGUUGAAUAGCAAUUCGAGUUCUUCGGAUCAUUUGUUCUCAGGUACAUCUGAGACAAAGAGUUCUCAUAAGGGAGAUACUGCUUCUGGUGAGCAGGUAUUCUGUUUUCAUUACCUUUCUUGCCUUCUUAUUAGAUUUUAGUACUUCUUUAAUCUAUUGUUCUGAUUUUGAAGAUUUGGGGUCCAUUUGUUGUCCGUUGAGUAUGAUUUACUCUGAGGAAUUUAAGAUUUUAUUAGAUACUAACUGUAGUAGCUUAAGUAUUACGAUUGACAUUAUUUUAGUCGAAUUGUCUCAAUUAGUUGCCAUGAUAUGUUUAGCUUAGAAAGAAAGAGGUUCAUGUUUAACCUCAAAUACGAUCUCUUGUUUCUUUUUCCUCUUAAUCUUUCAGUAUUAUUUCUAGUUGUCCUGAUAUGUGCCAUUUAUUGCUUUGAUUUCCUUCAUCUAUUCUCAGUCCCUGUGGGACAUAUUGGGGUUAUGUUUGAAUUCUUUUAUUGUUCUCCUCUAGUUGAUUUCAAGUGCUUCAUGAGACCCAAGACUCUAGGCCUUUCAGUGAUAAUGUAUCUUUCUGAUUAUUUAGUAUCUUGUGUCUUAUAUUUCUUAGUUACAGUUACAGUUGAAGAUGAAGCAAAUUAGUAACAUGCAGCUUAAUUGACAAACCAAACAUGAUUUUGUCGCCUGUAUCUCUUGUCCUUUUUAUCAGUUGAGGGUGGAGUUUGGUUUCAAACAGUAACCUCUUGUUGGUUUAUAGCUAGCCCUGUUUCAAAACUGAUUUUUCUUGUUCUAAGACAUUCACGUAAUUCCAUUUCCUGGAAUAAUUUCAUAUGGACAUUCAGUGACACAACAAGGCCAUGGAUAACUUCUGGCUGUAUGUCUCGCCUUAGGAUUAAUUGUUCUCGACUUCCAAGUAUUUAUAUUCCAUGUUACAUAAACUAGCUCAUAUCAUCGACCAAUUGACAAUGUGUUACUUGACUUGGGUCAUAAUCCAUCUUAGCUCAUAUCAUCUUUGUAAACAUGCUUUUAAGUCCUCCCCCAUUAUGUUAUUUAACCAAAUCAAAUUUGACAAGCUACAAUUAGGGUUUUACAUAUUUGGGAAAAUAAAAAAUUCAUAUUGUACAAUUAAAAAAGCAGUUAAGCUCCUGCAUGUGGACCCACCGAUAUGCUUGGGUAACAUUUAUUGCAUAGAUAGGUUUUGUAGUGAGCCCCUUCCUAGGUGAUGCAUGAUGCUGUGGAGCCAUAUAGAGAAUUCUUGUUAUACCAUCUUCUUUCACUGUACUCACUAAAAUUCUGCUUAAUGUUAUGUCUGUAACAGGGAUGAAGAUGAACCCAAUAUCUAGAGAAAGCCAUGAAGUUUGGAUUCCUAACCAUUUUUCUUUCUUGUUAACUCUAGGAGGUUGAGUAAUUGGAAGAUUUAUGUUUAUUUGGUGAUUAGCCAGUAUAGGACUAAGAGCAUUGUUUAUUAUUCCUUCCUAUGAUAUUGUCAAGGAUUCUUUUUUGGCUUCUUCAUACGAUGUCUGGAGCGAAGUUGAGAGGUUUGGAGUGAGGGAGAAGCUCUAAUUAGUUGUUUUAAACAGCAGUCACAUGCUGCCUAGGAGAGCAAAAUGAGAUGAAAAUAGUAGAGUUACUAUAUGUGGUAUAAAGACGCUUUAAACACUUGUAUAGGAUAAUGUUGCUUAGCAAUGCAUAAAGACUAAAAUUUCCUUUUUCUUUCAGAUAUUUGUGAUUCAUUCUUUUUGGUGGUUGGUGGAGUUUGAUCCAUCUAUUGCUUCUUGGUUUUUAUUGUAGGCAAUGGCUGGACCAAAAAGGCAAUCUGAGAAAAAGCGAAGCACAGCGGAAAAGCAUGUCAGCUUAAGUGUUCUCCAGCAAUACUUUUGUGGGAGCUUGAAGGAUGCUGCCAAAAGCAUUGGUGGUGAGACUUCUUCCUCAUUUUCAUACCAAAGUUUAUUGUCUUUGCCUAUACUAGAAACUAUGUUGAUUGCUUUUAUAAGAACUGUGUGAAUGGAAUUUUGAGAAGGAUGUCAACAAAUUAAACUUUGAUCUUUAGUUUCUUGUUCCUUCUAAAGUCUUUCUACUUGCUACCUACAUUGUUAGCUACCUGUGAAUUGAAAAUGGUUCUAUUUGUUUUUUUUUCCCCUUGUUUUUGGACCUGAUACUACUUUGUAUUAACUGCUCAAGUGCUUGUAGUGAAUAAUGAAAAUUAUAACAGCAACUGCAUCACACUGAUUUCAACCUGCUUUAUGUGGAAUUGAUGGAAAGCAGUUUCUAUUGGCCCCUCUUGCACCCACAUUGCUUUUCUUCUCUUGUGACCAUGUAGAAAGAGGGAAACAGGGGCAAGAAUAAUGUAAAUGGAAUUUUGUUAACUUAAUUCCCUUUCUCUGGAAUGAUGAAAUGUUUGUCACUGGUCACUCAGUGCUUACAGUUUUGUUUCUGUUUUUGCAGUUUGUCCGACUACACUAAAAAGAAUAUGUAGACAGCAUGGCAUCUUGAGGUGGCCAUCCCGCAAGAUAAACAAAGUGAAUCGUUCUUUGAAAAAGAUCCAAAGUGUGCUUGACUCUGUUCAGGGGGUGGAAGGAGGUCUGAAGUUUGAUCCAGCUACUGGGGGCCUAUUGGCUGGUGGCUCUGUCAUCCAAGACUUUGAUACUAGAAAAGGCAUGCUCUGUCCAGUAAAAAGUGCUUCUCUCAGAAACCCUGAUUCACUCACCCAAGAUACAACUUCUGCUUGUCAAACUUAUUGCAUGGAUGGCGAGAAUUCUGUGGUCAAAAUGGAAGAGUGCGAUAUGGAUGCCAUUGAAGUGCAGAAUGCUAAUAUGCUGAGUCCAAACUCUCGUAAGGAAGCAAGUAAACUGCAAUCAAGCACAGUAGUAUGCUGCAAUGACGGCAAACUGGCUGCAUUAGAUGCAGGGCAAUCACAGCCAGCUAGUCCUUGGCCAUAUUCUGGUAAUGCAUCUCUUGAUUCUUACCUAAAAAAGAGUAGCGACAAGGAAUGGUGUCUAAAUGGUGAUAGGCAGAAGUUAGGUAAAUCCGACCAUCAGUUAGUUUCCCUUAGUUCGAGCUCUCUUGUUGUUGUUGAUGAGAUUGAGGCGAAGAUGAAGAGUGAUAAUGGAUUGGAUGGUGAUGACGGAGGCCUUGAAUAUAAUCAGCCUACCUCCUCAAGCAUGACUGACUCAUCAAAUGGGUCUGGGUCAAUGAUGAAUGGCAGUUCAUCAAGCUCUAGAAACUUUGGUGAACAAAAGCAUUCAAAAAAUGAGUCAAACUUCGGAGACAGCAGUUCAAAACUGACUGCGAAAGCUACGUAUAAGGACGAUACGAUUCGAUUUAAAUUUGAUCCUUCUGCAGGAUGUUUACAACUUUAUGAAGAAAUUUCAAAGAGGUUCAAACUACAAUUGGGGGUGUUCCAGUUGAAGUACAUGGACGAUGAAGAGGAAUGGGUGAUGUUGGUAAGUGAUGCAGAUCUCCAAGAAUGUCUUGAGAUCCUAGACUUUCUUGGUACUCGGACUAUCAAGUUUCUGGUACGAGAUACACCUCAGACCGUUGGCAGCUCAGGUAGCAGCAAUUGUUACUUGACAGGAGGUUCAUAAAGUCAACGGCGCAGGCUGAUAACUGUUGUUUCUUGAAGUGAAUUAUGUUGGCUUCGAAGCUGAUCUCAAGGAGUGACUAAAAACAUCUUGUUUUGCACUCAUCUUCUGGAGUUUUGUCUUUAUACUGGUUGUGCCAAUUGUAUUUUGGCUGAAAAACCAAGCAUAUAAAAGAAUAAGAAGGAAGAAGCAGGCCAACGGCUAGCAUUUUUUCCAGUAAGGUUUCUGAUUGAAAUCCAUCCAUGUCACUAGAUCUUUUUUUUUACUUUUGUACAUGUAGAAGUUACUGAGGUUUGCAGUCUUUAGAAGAGCUAGGCCGCUAAAUGUUUGUGUUCUAACCCAUUCUGUAUAGUAGUUAGGUAAAACAUAUGUAGGAAAGUAUGAGAGUAUCAGGGGCUAAUAUCUCUGCUAAUGUAUGUUUUUGUAUGAAAGGAUAGUAGAUUUGUUACUUUCUGUUUCUAUCUUACCCUAUUUUGUGCUGCCUUGUCGUUGUGCAUUAGAAGCCCUUACAGGGCAAACCUUACUGUUGUUGUUUUACAUUUGGUGACCCGAAUUGUUUCACAAACCAUAACGAUAGAGCAAUUGAUAUGAUCUUUUCUAGCAAUUUUAAAAGCAUCAAGAAUGAUGAACUAAAGGUUGAGUACACAAAAUCUCCAAUGGCCUGGCGAAUUUGAACAUAACCUUAUUUUAAUUUUAUAACCUUACCCUUUAGUACGUUGUGUAUAAUUGUCAAGUUUUCUAGUAGCAGUUUUACGAGUAAAACAAUGAUGCUAUUAGCCAAAAGGGUGUGUUUUGGAACCUGAUUAGUGAAAAGGGUGAUAGGCAUGAAAUCUUCAAGUAAUUUAAGGUCGGAUAAGAAUCAAGUAAGCUAUUUGCUUGUUUUUAGGCAUGUUAGUUGGAUUAUGUGAGCUGAAUUUUGAUACGUACGAACUACAUGAAAUAUCAUUGUAAGUUCAAAUUCAUUACUCUUUUAUUUGAUUGAAUUUAGAUAAAUAAAUCUUCUCAAUUCUCACAUAAACUUAUAAAAUGCCAAAAUUGAGUAAAGAAAUAAUGAAUAAAAAUUUUAGGCAACAAACUAUAUAUGUGUGUGUCUCAACUCAAUUCACGUUGCAUGAGUUCAAGCCAGUAAAUUUAGGGCCAAGCAGAGCAGCCUAGCCCAGCCUAUUUGACAGGCCAACUUCUUGCCCAUCAUAACGCAAACAAAAAUUGAGCAAAACGGUCGUUUGCUUUGCAUUUCAUGGACUAAACCACAUGUACAUAAAAACAUGUUCUUCAACGCUAUAAGAAUUUGAGUUGAUACCCUCUUUAUCAUUAACUUUUGAAAGAUUUGCUUAUUAGGCUUGAAUGGUUGGCUUCUUCCCAAAAUUUCCCUAAAUCAAUUGCAAUAAUACAUGUUCCCUUUGGUUGUUUAUUUUAAUUUAUCAAUUGUUCUCCAUUGCCUUCAUCCACAAAGGUACUGCUAUUGCACAUCUUCUCCGACACUGAGCUGCUUAAUUACCAGUCAUUACAAUUAUUUGUCUACCGAAGCUAUGCUUUAAAUUAGAAAUUUUAAAGAGCAUUUUUAAGCAAAAUGUAUUGCUACGAACUGGCUGGUGUAGGAUUGAAUCAGAAUAGGUUAGUAAUUGUAUGGUGAUUUCUUCCCCAAGAAAGACUCACUAAUGACAACUAAGCUUUAUUGAAUUCAGAACUCUCUAAGCACAAACACCAGGAUGGCAAGUGUAAACCGUCUUUGACAUUUACCAUGAAUUGGAUCUCCAAUCCCGAUGAAAUAUGCUCUAGAAAACACCAUAAAGCACAAACACCAAAAGCUAAAUACUGCCUCCAUCCAGGAAAAUUUGGACAGCGCAAGAUAUGCAAUGGUUGCAAUGGUUAAUGAUGUAUCUCUGUCUCUGUUGUCCCAGAUUCGAGUAUCCUCAAUUGCAAACCUGCAGCAAUUUAUUGUAGUUUAUUGCUCCUGACUAAAUGAAAGGUUCACCAAAAGUGAACCAUAUACCAACUCAAAUAGAUAGAUGGCAAGUUUCCCCCCAAAAAAAAAAGAAAAAGGAACUUACUCAUCUACGGUGGAUGACAACACGAGGUUUGCAGUGUCUAAGGAUGUGCUCAUUCCUUUCUUUUGCUCUCCAUUUUUUGCUUUUCUCACAAAUUGACCUGCAUAUGAAGUUUGCGAAAGUCCAACCUUCUCAUGAACCUGAAUAAAUUGCUGUGGCGGCCUACUAUUUUACAUCCAUUACUCAACGCAAGCAUGCAGGCCUAGCACGCUUCAUACCUGCGGCAUGAUGUAUCAUAAUUGUCAAAGGAAAUAAUGAAAUUUAGUAGAUAAAAGAAACUUCAAAGGGAGAAAUAUAUAUAAAGAAAUAAAAUAGCACCAAGAUUUGAGAAUAAAUGGUUCAAAUCUGGUCUGCCGCCAUAAAGAUGAUGCUCAUAGAAAUAACUUCAGUGCAUAAUCAAGAAUGGGGAUGUUUAGGGAACCCACAUAAUGCCCGAUUAUUGGAGUUUGUUGCUGCUAUAAUCCAGUGAAUGCUAGAUACAUCAGCUCUCGAGGCAUGGAGUCAUCUUAGGCCAUCAUCUUAGGCCAUAAAGGACAAUAUCUACAAUUAGGACUUUCCUUUUGGAGUCAAAUUUAUGUUGUCAGGUCAAACUUAUACUCUCAAUUUUCUUGGCCUUUAGCAUCCAAAAUGUUAAGCAUCCUCAGGUUUAGUGUUUGCUCAGUGCCUGGGAAGCUUUCGGCCUUCAAGUCUCGUUUCUUUACGUACACAAUUACUUUCAUGAAGGUCUAAUGGAACAGACAAGGUUAGUUGGACUAGAAUCUCUCCACUGAAUUGAUGGACCCUGUCUUUUGCUUAUUUUUCUAGGUCUCCUCUUCUAAGAUUUUGCUGGUGCCCUUUCAAAUCCUCUAAUGUUUACCAGUUUCUGAAAUGGAAGGAUGCACAUCCAUCUUUAGCCACUAACUCUAAUUGGUGCUGGAGUGCUUGCUAUCCUGCUUUCUACUAGAAAAGUAAGCAGACAAUGAGUGAAUUGGCACCGAUAAGUGAUAGCCAGUUACUAUUGCAUAAUCUCUCCCAAAAACUCCCUUGAAAUUAGAACUUCAUAGAUUUCAUGACUAGCUAUCCAACUUUCCAGUAAAUACAUUAAACUGACAUCGAGAAAAUAAGAAUAAAGGUAAGUUUUGGUCUUAAGGAUCUGUUACAGUUAGUGAAUGACAAUCUAAAUACUUUAAUCACCCUAGCCUCUCUUCAAAAGGCAACUCCAUAAAUUCUCUCAAGGUUUUAAAGAUCAAUUCUAAGCGCAAAUGGUGUCAAUUUAUAAACAUAAGUAAUGACACAAAUCUGGGAUCUCUGACAAAACUCAUUAUUCAUCAAUUGACACAAUCUUUAUGCACAAAGAAACAAAGUUGACUCACAGAUUGACCUGUCUGACACCAUUAGAUAAACAUACACUCCAUACAUCAUUUUCAUCAACAUAAAGAUCUAAGAGAACCACACUUGAGAACAUUAAUCAUAAGGGCAAUCGUUAAACAACCAAACACAGUUGGAACUCACAAAACUCAAAUAACAACUUUUCAUUCCUAAAGUAAAUAACAGUUAAGUUCUGAUUCUUCCAGUACACAACAUGAUGAUUUUAACAUAGUAUUUGUUGCCAAUACGUUGUAGGCAUUGCUUUUUUAGGCAGGAACCUGAACAUUAACCGCAGCAUUCUCCUAUUUAUUUGAAGUUGUCUUGUCACACUAAAGCUCACCAAAAAAAUCUACUGUGUUCAGAAGGUGAAAAGAACAAAAGAACAUGUUAGUAAUAAGUACCUUUGGAGUCAUUAGGUACUGAUUCACGGUUUUGAAGAUAUGUCAAGUGAUGCUUGCCUAGGUUCAGGUGUUGUGCUUGUGCAAACUCAUCUAACAUGCCACCAAUAAUACUGUAGAUGGCCAUACUUGUCUCAUCACAAGCUGUCUGUAUAGAAAGGUACUUAUUUACACCUUUACAUUGCUUGUGGUGCAAUAUACCUCUCUCUCCCAGUGGAGAGCUAUAAUGCAGGGAAUCUCCAUUUCUUGCAUUGUUAUUCACAAUUUUGUCUGUCUUUAGAUCAUGGCCACUUUCUCUUCUGCCAGCAGAGAGAGGUGAAGAAGAUCCACAUUGAUUGACUGUAGAGCAAAAAGGAUGCAAAUCAGUUGGUUCAAGCUUUAACAAACUUGCCGACUGGCGCUCAUUUCCAUUAGAGCUUUCUAUGUUGUCUAACAUUUUUGAUUGUGAAACAGAAGAGCAAUAGACAGAAUCAUUGGGCUCAAACAUAUCCCUCGCAAAAUGCACGGAUUCCAUUCUACUAUUUAACUUACUCGUGGGUGAAAUAAGUGAAGCCCUGCCAUCUCCAUUACCUGAAGAGAUGGGCGAAUCAAUAUCACGGGGGUUGGUUUCACCAAAACACUCUGUUAAGUCCUUAAAAUCAUCAAAACUUGAUUUAGAACUUUGAGGAAGAUCAAUCCCUUUCUCAUCCUCGUCAUCAUCACUUUCCUCUAAUACCUCCAUGUAGGCGUUAGCAAAAUCUUGAUCAACUUCUUGUCCAGGUAGAAGGUUCCAGACAACCUGCUUUGUCUCAGCACUCAAGCAUAAUAAAAAUUCCACCUCCUGUUCCACUUCAUCCUUUGAGGUGCUCCUACAAGCUGGAUUACAGAAUCUUUUGUUAAUGUAGUAAACUGCCUGCACUAAACAUUCUGGAAUAAUUUCCAUAUCAUCACACUCAAAAAGAAAAUCCAUGAAAAGAUUCCUUAUAGUCAAGCACGACCAUUGCUUUGAAUUCUCAACUUUAGAGUCUGCCCACUGAUGCAAGAUUUCAUGCAAUGCUUCAAUUUCAGCAACGACCACACUGUUUCCAGAAUUAAGAAGACAAAUAGCCCUUGCAAUAUCAUUCUGUAGGGAUUCUAUAUGAGGUGCAAAUGUUCGAAAUUCAACUACAGAGGGGCGGCCAAGUAUCAAUUUUAGCGUUAAGCCUGCAACUGCCAGAGCUUUGACCAGAGGUUCCUGUAACUCUUCCCCUUCACGCAGUUCUGAUAGCAUCUUCAUACAACGUUUCCUAACAGUAUCUAUCAAGACAUGUUUCACCUGAUGUUUACAGGGACCUAACUCAGGAAUGUACCCACUUUGACCUCUAAGCUUCCUGUGCAUUGCAUUUAGCGUCUUAAGAGGCAACUCCUCAAGUCCAUCUAACACACUAGCAGCAGCAGUUUGAUAAUCAGUUGGUACCCUAUCCAACCCCAGGAUAUACUGAGGAUUAUUGAGAAGAAUGAAAAUCUGAUUCAUUCUCAUUUCAACAUUAUGGUUUUCCUUGUUAAGAAAUGUGGGAAGGUAUUCUUUGAUUAACUUUCUCAUUUUCCACCUAGUUUUUUCAAACUCAAUCGAGCCCUCUGUCAGCAAGCCAGCAAGACAACACAAUCCGUUGUUUGUCAUUUUAUCAAGCAGGGAUGACAGAUUGUUCAAUAGAUACUGUGAAUCAAAGGAUGGCCCAUCCUUUUUAACUUCCUGAUUUUUUACCAAGCUUUGAACUCCAAAACCCCUUUCGACGAAGGACCUGACAUUGUCAUAGUAUACCUGUAAACCAAUUAUUCACAUAAAUAUCAACUAAUGAUGAACAAAGAAUACUUGUCAAAGCAUUCAGUAAAUCAGGACAACUGAAGCACCAACUUCACGUGAACUAGGAGGUUUUACAUCGUAAUAAAAAUGGUAAAACAUAUAUUUAUCUUCCUUCUAACAAUUAACAUGUUCUUUAAGCGUAAUUACAUUAAACACCCCCCCUCCCCUGAUAAAGCAGACUUAAAAUUUACCUCCCUAUCCUUUUGAUACCUACAAAUGACCCCCUUGUGUUUUUGGUAAAACUGAAAAUUUUUACUUUUCUUGUAAAGUUAAUCACGCAAAAGACAAACUCAGUAACACAUUAAUUUAGAAUUACAAUACACCCUUCAAAUAAUUUCCACAAGAGUUCAAGGUAAGCAUAUUUUUUUAGGGGUUUAAAUAAAAUAAUACAACAAAAAAAUCUGGGCAAACUUAAAAGGUCAUUUUUUUUCUUCUUUGACAAUCAUCAGUGACACAAUAUUUCCCGCAUAAUUCUACCACCAUGUUCAACCAUUUCCUGGUGACUUUAAAAGAACACAUAAUCCACUCUGAUUUUAGCGAAGAGAACAUUAUUUGCCAUCUAAACAAUGAGUCUGAACCAACAACCACAAACAAAAUACCAAAAAUCCCAUCGACCCCAUUAUGAGAAAAAGGAUUUUAUAUCAAUUAAUUCUUCAAAUUUGAAUAUCAAUCCCUAAAUGUAAUUUGAUACAGGAAACACUACAAAAUUUUUCAUUUCGCCCAAUUUUCAGCAAAUUUUGUUUACAUUGUUCUGAGAGUCUAAGAGAAGUGAUUGGUGGUAAUUAGAGGCAGAAAUUUGAAUCUAUAUCCACUUCUGAAUCAAAUAAACCAAGCUUAAUGAACUUGUGAUUUAAGAAAGUGACUUUAAAUGGAUGACCAUUUAUACCCAGUCAAGUUGGUGGAUAUAAAUAGCUUAUCCAUGCCAUCUAUAUGCCCAAUUAUCAAAAGAAGAAUGAGAACCGAAGAAAGUUACAGGAUAAUGAGUGUCACUAAGACUAGUCUGAAGAUGACUAAUUCAAAAAGUCAGGAAUAACACCAGUGAAAUCAGUUGCUCUUGAGACAUGAAGCUGGUGCACACGAGUUAUAUGUUUCAGGCACAAACUCACCAUGUAAAACCUUAUAGGAAGGACAACCCUAACAACCUGACCUGGCUGGAUUCAACUCCUCUUGAGGAAGAGCAGUGAACUGUUUGUGAGUAGUGGAUAAUAGGUUCUAGUCAACGUUAGCUACGCAAUAAAUACGAUCAACAAUAUUCCUCCAUUUAGACUCAUUUAUCAAAUAGUUGUAUAUAAAUCAUAUUAAUUUUAUCCACUACCCAUUAAGUAAUACCAUUCAUCCAUUUUGACAGUUCUAGUGAUUGAUGGAGAGUACUUGUGAAACUGACUAGCAUAAAAAUGAAGAGAGACAAAAGCCAGGAAACCAAACUACAGCAACAGGAAACGAAAACAGAAGAAAGAUAAUCUGCAAAUAGAUAUCAAAAAAGGCAAAGCAAGGAAAAUUAGGAUGACAAUGCAGAGAUAAAACAAGAUAAACUCUCAAUCAAAAGAAGAGGCAUCUGUGGUCCAUUGUGCUGUGUAAAGGGAAAAAUAUAAAAAAAAGGGGGCCAAAAAAAUGAAAAUUAUGUUCAAGUAUAGAGGUUCAUCAAUCAAAUGCAUGCUAUCCAUGCAUUCUGAAAUGUAACUUACCUUCAGUUUAGGAUGAGCUACAUACAAGGACCUGACAUUUUAAAACUGCAGAAGAUAGGUAAAGCCAUGUCCCGUGAUUUAAAUAGACAAACAAGAAUAAACUGAUACUAUUGGAAACAAUAUCCCUAGGAAGUUACCCAAUGAAAUAUUGUAUUACCAUAAGAUUUAUCAAAAAGCAAAUCAUCACAAUAAGAGAAAGAACAAAAGGGGAAAAAAAAAAGAAACUUACAUCAUCUUCUCUAAUCAAUGUUUCAGGUGUAAACCUGCAGCAUAGGAAGGAAAAGCAAAAUGAAAAAUGGCAAUCAAUCCUAAUCUGACAUACAUUAUCAUAAGAAGAACACAAAAACUUGCAUACCACUAUUCUCUUAUAGUUCAAUAACUUUGUGCUCAAAGUUACUAGAAUAGCAACAUUAAAAACAUAUCAAAUCAAAUAGGGGCAUUUUAAGGCAGACAAACAACAUGAAGAGGUAUGAUAAAGCACCAACGGUGAACUGAUCAAGGGUAGAAACAAGAAGAUGAACGAACUCUUAAUAAAAGUGACGAAUGAUCACAAGACUGAUUAGCAUUCUUUCUAUCUCACAAAUUUAUCGUGCGAAUUUGUUAGCACAUCAUCUUUGAGGAUCUAGGUACCAAAGCACAAGUACAGCCAACAGAACUGCAAGUGAUUCAUUAUCUUUUCCUAUAGUUUCCUCCAUUCAGAUAGGUGCUAAUAUCAUGAGACUUUGAUUCUCAUACUUAAGUUUGGUACUUUGCAGCUACAAGUUUUUAUCAAGAACCAAUAAACCCAAGAACUCUCUUACUGAAUUACUACCUAAAUUGCAAAUCGGUUGAAAAAAUUGAAAGUAUUUCAAGUAGUACUGCCCAAUAACAUUUUAUUUUUAUUUCUUUAUUGUACUUACCAACUAAAAAUGGAUUACUGAUAAUGGGACUCCCAAAUUUCUUAAUGGCACUCUGUUUGAUAAACAUACCCCAAAAUUCCAUUUCAAUUAGAAUAUAGGAGGAAAUGGUGUAAUCCUAGUUGUAAAGCUAUUUGUGAAUUAUCACGUGAUUAAAAGAUAAAGAGCGAGUUUCAUUAACAAAUAUGGGAGCAUCAAUCCCUGUAUAUACCUUUUGUGAUACUACUAAUAUUUACAGCUACUAAAGCAAACCAAUUAAUAUGAUUCAUGAGUUUACACUAGAACAGAGUUUAGAUAAUUAUUAACAUUUUUUCAAAAAUGCUACCAACGAAAGGAAAAAAGGGAAAAAAAAGGUUUUAAGCAGAAGAAAAUGAAAGAUAACAAUUAACAUACAUGUCUUCCAGAUGAUUCAAUUCCUUGUGUAGCUUUUUCUCCAACCCAGACAGAGGCAAAUCCAUCAACAACCUGUGCCAAACAGUUCUCUUUUUUUGGGCCAUAUAGUGACAAUAAUAAAAUCAUAUUAUCCAUUGGAAAAAAGACAAAGAGAAACCUUCUUUUGAGCUUGAGAAGAUUAUCUUGUUUUGUAGUUUGUAAUAGUAGAUUCAUAGAAUUCUCCAUCGUAACCUAACCAGCUGCGCCUUAGCUUUCUCGUUUGUGAGUUCUGUAGGUGGGCAUGCGACCGCACAGGUCAAAGACUGAAAAUAUAGAUAAUAGUUACCAAUAUGUAGAAGUGAACAAAAGAAGAGGAGCCAGCUAUUAAUAAGAGACCUAAAUUGUCAAUAUUCUAGUUUUAAGGCAAAAAUGAUUUAAUUAAUGCUGAACAAAUAAUAUGUACUUAAUUAGCAUUAAAAAAUGCAAAAAAAAAGGAUGAUCAAAAGUAACAAAACGUCUAAUUUCAUGUUUAUGUUGGACCACCCCUAGCACACAAGAUCAUUCCACAAUAAUGAAAGUAAGAAAUAAGUUUAGAGAAGCAAAGAAUAACACGAUAAUAGAAUCAUAUUAGCCUCUAGCAACGACUUACAUGACAAUAAGUAUUAAAAGGAACAACUAAUUAAAGCUUAACUAAAGGUGAAUUAUACUUAAUUUGACAAAUUGAAACUGAUAAUUGACUUGUCUAGUAGUACGGAUCUAAAACAAAGCUAAGGAGUCAAUCGAAAAGAAACCAAGGAGCGUCAAAACAGAAAACUAGGAAAGUCAAUGGACUAAAGUUGCAUUUUUAUUUUAAAAAAAUCGUUUUUCUUCGCUGAACCAAAAUGCCACCGCUGCUAUUUGUCAUUCUCCUUUUUCUCGGAUUGGUUCUCAACUCUGGCCACGUAUCAUCCAUCUGAAGAAUGGACGGUUGAGUAUGUGGCCCCAUGUAACUUUAGUGGCGUGGGCCGAAAAAGACGCUAGAGGCGGACAUGUGAAUGAUGGAUAGGGGGUCAUGUGUCAUCCAUCCAAAGGAUAAACCAAUGUUUUAAAACCCGGACCGUCAAGCGAACCGGUGAAGUGAAAGGGUCGAGGUUCAACCGGUCGAACCGGUUCAACCCCGGUUCAAUAAAUUAAUAAUAUAUAUAUAUCCUAAUUUGCAUCUCCUGUUAGUGUACUAUCUACAUGCCUUUCCAUGAACAGCAGAAUUAGAUUAAAUCUAAAUGCAAGUUUCCUAGCUCAGGAAACACACACACACAUCUAUGCACAGAAUAAGAUAUAAAUGUUAAACUACAAUUAACAUAAGAGCAAUAUCCAACAAUUAACACACACAAUUAACAUAGUUUUCCAACUUACAUGUCCAAUUGUCUAAAUAUUAGAAUUAACAAAAAACACUACAAGUCUAGAAAACAACCAAAAGGUCCAAACAAGUCCAAUUUAUUAGUCAUCAUCAUGAUAAGUCAUCUUGACAACAAAGCUUCAUCAUUCAUUCUGGGACAACAAAGCUUCAAAAGGUCCUUUAUUAAGCUUUGGUUUUUCUUCCAUUGUCUGGGAUAGUCUUUAAUUCUAUGUUUGGAAUCUGUUUACAAGUACUUAAGUAGGUUUGACCAGGACAGUUUCUUUAGGGUUGUCAGACUAAGGCCAAUUGCAGAAUCAUUAGCCUCAAGAACAUAGCAAGAAUCAUCCACGGUUAGAAUUGUUCUUAGUGAUGUCAAAAAUAUAUUCAUGUAACUCAGAAUUUUUAUACCUAGGAUAGAAUUUAUAUUCUAACAUUCUUGGUUACACGUGGCAGCUUUUGGUUGCUUCUCUAGUAUUCAGACUCCUUGUACAUGUUUGGUAGUAGACAGCAGUCCUAAUAUGUAGACAUAAUAGUUUUCCAACUGUAGGUUGUGCAUAAUUUAAUGAGCUCUAAUUAGUCAACAAUAGAUUUGGUUGUUUACCUUUCAGAAACAGGAGGUCACGGAAUGAUUUAGUUGCAUGUAAACCUAGCAAGGGACUUAUAUUAUUUAAUAAGUGGAGUAGCAUUUGAGCUUCUGUGAAAUACACUAAUGGUGGGUUGUAGAAAAGAUGAUUUGAAGAAUAUACACCAAAAGGACAGAAACCAGAUAUGUAUAAACAUUUUGUCUUAUAGACAGAAGCAGAAAAAGCUUUGGCUAAAGUAAGAAAAGAACCUUGCUGUACAGAAAAUCAAAUUCUGUUUCAUCAUAGAAUCUUUGUGUCACUGCACUUUGGUUAAUAAAGUUUCCUAAUUAUAGGAUUAAGUGUUUACCUAUAACAGCUAAAGAUUGAAAGACUGGCAACUAUGAUAAAUGGUAGUAUGAGAUUAUUAUUGAAAGAGUCAUGGUUAUUAUAUCUAUGUUAACCUGUUAUAUUAACCUGACAAGACAAACAAGAAGAUUUGUUCAACAACUGAAAAACAUGUUUUGGAAGAUUGUGUCAAAUUCUCACUUCACUUCACCAAGUAACCAAACGUGUCAAAAAUUCAUCCCAAUUCGCCAAAUGGAAGUACUUGAAGCAAGGGAAACUUUCUACAUGCUUCAAUAUCAAAUUAUAAUACAACUCCACAGUGACAUGGUUAUCAAUUACUGAAUUAAGUGACAGAAGGGACCAUAUGAUAGGCUGUCCAACUGAAAGACCGAGGACUUUUUUUUUCUUUUUUUUUAUCCAGUUUUCAGAUAAUACCAAAAGAAAAAGACUUUUACUGAGGCCGUUGGUGGAAUUUAGCAGUGAAAUACUGGGAAUUUAGCAGUUUAGUACCAACAUCUGGUACCUGACCACCAAUUAAUUGACAUUUUUUAUUGUCGGCCAAAAACAUUAAUAGGGAGUCUACCUCCCAAUUAAGUUCCGGUUUCACCAGCGGCGCAACUCAACAACAGGGCAACCAAAUUAUCUAACGAGUCAAAAAAAAGAAAAUUGCAGGACAAACAGACUGACAGCUUAUCUAAUUUGAGGACAAACCAAAAAAAAAUUGAUUUAGGCUGAUCAGCUUAUAAUAUAAUCAUUUAGCUGCUGCUGCAAUGACAAGUUAAUAAGGAUCAUAUGCCCAAAAAUUACGGCAGUAUAUAUACAUUAUACAGAGGGCCGAGGGGACGGAAGGGCAACCAAAACCCAAUAAUCAACAACGAAAGGAAAAAAAAAAGGGAAAAAGGAUAAACAAACCUGGUAUAAGCUUGAGGCCUUUCAGGAGUGCAAUAGUAAAUCUUAAAUGAGAAUCGUGAAGGUAGCAGCUGAGAUGAAUUGAGAAUCGUGAAGGUAGCAGCUGAGAUGAAUUGGUGAAUUGAUGUCCCUAAACCUAAAGCUGAGAAUCGUGAUGUCCCUAAAGCUGUUGAUGAAUUGAUGGGUAGCAGCUGAGAAAUGAGAAUCGAAACAAAUGAAUUGAGUUGAAGCGGCGAAGCGAAGAGUGUCGUGAAGGCUGACGACUGAAGAGUGAACUGAAGAAGUGAAGAUUAGGUUUAGACUUUAGAUAAUUGCGGUCAAAAUUGAAAAUUCGGUCAAAAGUUGGAGAACCGCGGUUCACAGGUUGAACCGGUUUUAACGGGUUUUACGAUUUUUACAAUUUUGACCGAUUCUUGGCCCAGGUCAACAAAGACUAUGAACUGGACCAAACACAUGACCGGUUUGCGUUGGAAAUGAGAGGAGAUGGACCUGGCUUGUUGAGAUGGUUGACAGUGGCAGUUGAUCUUAUAAUCAUGGUGCUAAAGGAUCGGACAGCGCAAGUGAGAGAGUUCUUCCAGACCAUGGAAUUGGCAUCUGGGAAAAACAAAUACAUAAAGUAAGUUGAGAGCAACGCAAAAUCCAUAAAGGAACAUUUCAAACUCAACAUCAUACUCUACUUAUAUAGCACACAAAUAAAACUGAGAAUUAGUCGUGUUAAAAGAAUAAAAAAGAGACAGCUAACCAAAUGAGACAAACAUACCAAUUUAAAAGCAAUUCCACACCAGAAAAGACUGUCUUGAGCAAGCAAAGAGCCAGUACCCCUAAAUAAGAAGUCAGAAUACUAGUAAAGUCAGAGAAGAACUGUACCAUAAGCAAUUCAAAAAAUGUGAAAUUCAUCACACACUCUAAAUUGUGACAAACAAAAUAUCUGAUUCAUGAAUUUUACAUACAUGCAAAACAUCCUAAAUGCCAAACAUCCAAUCUCAGAAUUACUUCUAAUAAGAAAAAAGGUGUACAAGUUCUACAUGUUUUAGGAAUGCAGGUUUUUGAGACUGUAAGAAAGAGCUGAACAUUGGUACAAGGUCCAAUCUUGCUCUAUAACAGUACCACUAGCUGAAAGCCAAAAUCAAUUACCACAAAAUAAUCAUAGACAAAAAGCCUAAACCUUGCCUUGAACAUGCUGUGCUAAUAAAAUCUAAGAGCAGAAGCAAAAACAAAUAUUCAAGCUCGAACAACUUAAUUGAACAGUGGCAUCCAGAGCUUUUCUUGUAAGUGCUAAAGCAGCUGGUGUUCAUAACAGCAUAUACAUUCAAAGCUCUGAUACAGUUCAAAGGGAGGUAAAAUCACAGGAUAGAGAGGGUUUGGCGAAAAACUAAUAGCAAUUAAUUUGCCAAUUACCACAAACUCAACACCAAAAAGCAUAGACCUUGUCUUGAACUUGCUGUCACAAUUUAAGAGAAGAUGCAAAAACGGAUUUGUGAGCAAUUUAUUGAACUGUGACAACCAGAGAUUUGCUUAAAAUGUUAAAACACAAUAGCAUCUACAUUCUCCUUACAGAAUCAAAGAUAGUUUAAAAGGGGGGAAAACAGAGGAUAGAAUGUUAGUUGAAAAAUAAGAACUAUUAAAUUGCAAAUAAGCACAUGGGAGAUAUAAAACUAUGAUAGUUGAGUACAUCGGAGAUAUAAAAUCUAGUGAAUUCAAUUAACUCAAUAUUACCUCUUCUACUAUAAUUUUUUUUUUCUUUUUUCAAAUUAUUGUUCUGCCUCCUAACUAUUGUAGCUUGUCCCUUUAGCUCUUGAAAUUGACACUCCAAUGUCUCUAGCAAUCCAUGAUGUAUUCCUACUAAUUUUUUUCAAGUUGCUAAAGUUUACAUUUCAAUUUAAUUGAGAUACUAUGAUCCUCAAUUGCUUAAUUCUUAGCUUAUCCUAGAAGCCAGUGUUCUUACUUCCUGAAAGUUCAAUAUGGAUGCAUACAAUAUCUCAUUCCCUUUAGGAUCACCCAGAAUUGUCCCAGCAUAUAAAAUGACGAUAGUUGAGUGCAUCAGAGAUAUAUAAAAUCUAGUGAAUUCGAAUAGAACUUAAUUUUGAUACAUAAUAAUAUAAUGCCUUCAAGGUAUAGAUUCUGAACUAUAAAAAUGGCUUUUUAGUAAAUGAGAGUUGUUGCUAAUUUUUAAAUUAAUGAUUAAGUGUGUCAGUAAUUAGGUUAUCCACCACUAAAAUCUUAGGAGUAGAGUUGGGGUGUAACAAUAGGAAAACAAUAAUGACAACCAAGAAGCGCUUGACAAAAUCAAGAAUUUUGUCAAUGUAGAUACGCAUCUCCCCCAAAUGCUAUGGAAAAAAAUUAUGAUUUUGAUUGGAAUCAAAUUCACCGUGCUUUAAUAACUCUUCAGAUUGAUUUAUAAAAUAAACUACUAGUUGCACUCCCCAAUGUUUGAUUGCUACAUAAUAUCGUCAGUAAUCUAACUUAUUCAAAGACAAUGUCAACAAAGUUCUUUGCUUUGAAAAGGAGAAAAAUAGAAAAAUUGCUUAUGUAGAAAAAAGGACAAACAUCAAUAAUUGGAAACCAGUCACCUAAUGAUCCAUCUCCACCUUUAAAAUAAAAAAAUAAAUGAAUAACACAAUUAUUACCUGCACACACAAAAAUUAAGUAAACUAAUAAUUAGACCAUGGAUAAAGAACAAAAAAUGGAUGUUUUUAACUACCUAAAUAAAUUUUGAAAAGGGGGAAAAUAGAAAAAUUACUUAUGUACAAAGGAGGACAAACAUAAAUAAUUGGAGACUAAUUGCCCAAUGAUCUAUCAUUAAUUAAUAUUAAAAAGAAUAUGCGAGAAGUCCCAGAUUCGAGACCUCCAAAAUAUACAAAAAUACUAAUAAUUAAAAAGGAUAUAAGCAAGAGGUCCUAUAUUUGAGAGCUCUAACACAUAAAAAAAAAAACACUAAUAAUCAAACAAUGAAUAAAGAAUACCAAUAGAAAAAGAGAUGUUUUUAAUUAACCUUGAGCUCAAUGAAUGGAGACCAACAUAAAUUAUCGGAGACCAGUCGCCUAAUGAUCCAUCACCGCCUUUAAAAAAAUAAAAAAUAAAUGAAUAACAAAAAUUAUUACAUCCACACAUAAAAAUUAAGUACUUAUGUACAAGUACACAAAGACUUGGGCACAAUUUAUCAUUUCACAGAGGGGAAAAAGGGGAGAAGGAAAAAAAUUAAAUAAAAUUGCUUAUUGUGAAAGAUUCAUAACAUAGAUGAAAAGUUAAUAGGCAUUAAUAAAUUUGUCGUAGAGGGGGGAAAAAGAGAAAACAAAAUAAUAGUAUAUAUUGUUAAGUUAGGCAUUGGUAAAUUUGUCAUAGAGAGGGAAAAACAAAAGAAUAAUAUAUAUUGUUAAGUUGGAGGAAAAUUUCAUAAACAACAAAUAAAUGAAUAAAGCAACCACAAGUAAGAAAAAAAAUAAAGAAACAAAAGGGAAAAAGGACAAAAAAAAAGAGAGAAAGGAACAAAGAUAGUACAUUUGCGAUCUGAGGGGAGAAAAAAAAGAGCAAAAAAAAAAGAAGAGAGACAAAAGAACAAAGCAAAGGGGAAAAAACAACAAAUCAGGCAUACAAAAAAGAAGAAGCAAGAGAGAAAUGUGCAAUGCACAUGAGGUGGACAGCCACCCGUGAAUAGUAAUCGUUAGAUGGUUUACUAUCUUAUAUUAAUAAUGAUAAAAAUAUCUUAUAAUAAUAUCUUAUAUUAAUAAUAUCUUAUAAUAAUGGUAAAAAAAAUAAAAUCAUCUCUCAAAUAUGGUGUGCAGCAACCAAGAAGAUUCUGUUUUUUUAAGCUACAAUGUUGCUGUACAAGCUAUGUGCGGCAACCGUUGUAAAUUUAUUUACAAUUCAGUCCUCCAAUCGGGGACUAAAAUUGCAAAGUCUGAAAAAAAGAGAGUCUAUUGCGAACAUCAAAGUUGUGCGACAUCCAAGGCCGUUUGUCAAGCUAGUUUUUUUUUUGGCUGUUUAUCUAAAAUUUUACUGUAACUUACUAUAAAAGUUGUAGAAAAAUUUUUUGAAGUGUAUAAAUUUUUAGAUAUUUUGAAGAGUAUAGUUUAAAAAUUUUGAGAAAUUUUUUGAGGUUACCGUAGUUAAAGUUAUUAAAAAAUUUGUAACAAACAAAUUUGGCCAAAUAAUUGCUUGCCAAACAAUACCAAAGUUGUACGGCAAUACUCACCAGUAUUUUUCUUUUCUUUUUUUUUUUUAAAGUAAGUCUAUUGCCGCACCAAAGUGGUGUGGCCACAAACACCUAAUUUAAAAAAAAUUACCAUUUCGGUCCUCGAUUGUUGGACUGAAAUGCAAAUAAUUUUGCAAAGAUGGCUGCACAAGCUUUGUGCGGCAAUAGCAUAGCUUUAAAAAAAAAAGAAUAUAUAUGGAGAACAUAGGGAAAAAUCCCUUACUCAAGGGUGAUUUUAUUUUUUUAUCAUUAUCUAAAGAAAUUUGCUGAUUUACUUCUAUUAUCAGGCUUUUUGUUUGGAUUACCCUUUCACUAGAAUUUUUUUGCCUCGUGUUUUCUUUCGCUAUACGGAUACAAAUGUCAUUUUAGUUGCGAUGACAGAGUUAAAAUUGACCGCUUUGAGAGUGGUAGGGAAACGCUUUGCGUACUUUUCUUUCCAACUUACAUGGGGCAGCAGAUGCUAUAGUUCAUCUUGUGAGCAAGGGAAUCACUUUGAGAGAGGGAAAAAAUUAAUGAAAUUGAAGGUGGGGUUAUUUUGGAAGUUUGGUGAGCCCUUUCUUCGUAGUAUACAUGACAAAAAGGUUUAAUACUUUUUUUUUUUUUGGUAAUAAAGGUUUAAUACUUAAUAAUCUAUAGAAACGUAUGAAGAGGAGCUUUUAAACAUAUUUUUUAUUAAUAUUUGACUUUAAAUUAUUGUUUUAAGCUCUUCUUGUAGCUACCAAAAAGUCAUUGGUUCAGACAAAAGACGUGCUUGAUAUAACUCGUUAAAUGCUUCAAAGAUUGGAGGCAAAUUUCGGGGUUCGUAAAUUCAUGAAACAAUAGUUUGUUGUUAUUUCUAUGUGUGCUUAUAUGGUUUAAUACAUAGGAAAUUGCUUGUAUGAUGGGAAGUGGUGCACAGGAAGUUAACCAUUAUUGUCUGAUUUGCAGGUAAAACAAAUUGGUUCUGUGUCACUAGACUCAACACAAAGCAAAGACAAAGAACAUAUUCAAAAUUAUUUCAAAAUUAUUUAACAUGUUCAGACGCAUUUAAUGACAAAAAAUUGAACAUCUGAAUUAAUUAAGUGGCACUGAAUUCCUAAAAAAAAUUUGUUCCAAAAAAUAAGUGAUAAACUAUUCACUUAUCAUUAAAUGUGGUAUAUACUCAAAUGUAUUAGCAUUUAAUAAUUUAAUAACUUAAUGGAUUCAGACUUCAGAUUUCAAAUUUCAAAUUUUAGUUUUAUCAAACGCACUCUAAGUUAGCCAUUAUUGCCUAAUUUGCAAGUGAAACAAAUUGGUUCUGUGUCAAUAGACUCAACACAAAAGAAAGACAAAGAACAUAUUCAAAUUUAUUUAAGAACUAUGAAAUCUUGUUUAUCUUGUUUGCAAGAGUUUUGUCUUAAACUCUUUGUAUGUUUAUCAUGCAAGACCUGCUUUAACCCAUUUUUCAGCAAUGACACCUGUUAGGGAGAAAUGUCGUCUCGAAAGAACCCAUUAAAGAGUUCAACAUGUAAGUCAGAAAUCCAACUCUGACCCAAAAACUUAAUUAUUAGGUAUCGAAUCCUUACUUAUAUAUUAAUCGCUCCUUUUUAUCUUUUGAAUGAACAUGAGAUAUGAUCAUUUACUCAUGAAUCUAACAUCACUAGGGUUUGUUAAAGGGUAGUGAUUGAUUAUUAUGCCAUGUUAAAACGUAUAUGUGUUCCAAAGAAACCACUAUACAAGUUUUUCAAUAGCCGAGGUAAGUGAUGCUCAAGGUUUUGAGCUUGUUAUGAUUAGGGAUGGCAACGGGGCGGGGGUGGGGCGGGGGUUCCUUCCCCCGUCCCCCGCCCCGUUGUCAAAUAACUCCCCCCGUCCCCCGCCCCUUGCCCUCCAUCCCCCGCCCCGCCCCUGCCCCGUUUCCCCCGCGGUCCCCCGCGAAAAAAGUAAUUAACUUAUCAUAAAUAUUCACUAUAAUAGCACAAUAAGUGGACUGCUCACAAACAUGAAAUAUAACUAUAAUUUUUCACUUACACUAAAAUUACAGGUCCUCUGUUUAGAAUCUAAAGGAGGACAAAUGGAUCAUUACUGAUCCGAAAUAUAUCAUUUGGAGUUAUUUCAGCAUUAUACAUAUAUCCAUGGCUAUCUUUUUUUUUAAUAAUACUAAAAUCUUAAAUCAUUUAAUUGCCGUAAAUCAUUAGGCUUUCGUAUUUACAUUUUCAUUAAGACUUUUCACAAACAUCUUAUAUGCACGCAAACAACUAUCCUUUGUUUGAUUAAUUUCGAAUUAAAGCAAACCAAAAAUUGUAACACAAUGCAUUUACAAUACUAAUACAAACUAACAAGAUAAAAGGGGGAAAAAUUAGCAGUGAAAUUUAAAUACACAGAAGGUUAAAAAAGUGAAAGCAAAAGGACCUUCACUCUGCGCCUGUUUUCAAAUUUAGUACCCAAAGAAAUUACCUAAAGUCUCUCUGAGAUCUGGUCCUUAAUGAAAGUUCGUUUCUCUUGAUUUGUUAAUUGACAAUCCGAGAAGACGACAAAUGCUCAGAGUGUUUCUGGAAGCAACGGAAGAUUGAUCCGAAAAGCAUGAAUAACACAAGCAAUGAUGAGCAGAUUUGUGUAUGCAUCAACCAUUUGAAAUUUAUAUUCAACCUUAGUUCUAUGGCAGCUUAAUUGGACUCGACGAUUAUUACCCAACCCCAAAAAAAAAACAAAAAAGAAAGAAGAAGACUGGACGACCAGUUAUUAUCCCCUGCCAUAAUCUGUAAUUGCAAGCUUUGGUGCACUAAUUUAAGGGCAAAUAUAUCCACAAUUUUCCGGAUCAUCGACCUGGAAUUCCCUACUCCAUACUUUAUUUAUUUAUUUUUUUUUUGGUUUGGGGAGGUAAGAAGGUUUCCUUCUACACACUUGAUACGACGACCGUAUUUGACACAAUUUGAAAAGUCAUGCAAGAAAAUAUUUGGCCCAAUAGUGGAGAUUUGGUCGAAGCAAAGAAACAAAUCAACAGAAAAUUACGUAGAACCUGGAAUUCGAAACUUCCAACUUGUCAAUCAGUUUCUUCUCACUUGCCGACGAAGAUAUGAGCUCGAUCUGGGAUUCUGGGUUGGUUGAGCUCGACGAAGAAGGAUUUAGACAGAAUGGGUUUAGUUGAGUUGAGUAGUGAGUAGUGACUGAUUACUGAUUUACUGAUUAGAAUUGAGGGAAAUUGGAGUUGACGGCGGUGGCUGCCAUUCUGCGGAGGAGGGAAAAAUAGGAAAUUAGGAACGGCCGAAUGGGGGAAAGGGGAUAGAUAAUUAGGGGUUUUGUUACUUGACUUACGCCACUUACUUCUAGAGAUGUAAUCGAGCCGAGUCGAGCUCGAGUAGUGCUAUACUCGAGCUCGACUCGACUCAUAUAUCCCUAGGCUCGAGCUCGGCUCGAGCUCGAUCGAGUCAAAAAAAUUGAUACUCGAAACUCGACUCGAUGUACUCGCUCUAAGCUCGAAACUCGACUCGAUAAGGCUCGAUAACGAAGGGUAUUUUGUAAAUUCCAUAUAACUUAUACCCAUAAUGGUCAUUUUAUAAUUAUAAUACAUAUAUAUUAUUUAAAUUAUAAAUAUAUUAUUUAAUAACCCCGGCUCGACGAGCCUCGAGCCGGGGAUUUUUGACUCGAAACUCGACUCGAUUUUCAUUCGAGCUACUCGAAACUCGGCUCGAACUCGGUCAACCCGAGUUCGAGCCAAGUCGUUGACCAAGCUCGCGAGUAGCUUGGCUCGCGUACACCCCUACUUACUUCUGUGUAUUAAUUAUAUAUAUAUAUUUUUUUUUUCUUUUUUUUUUUUCCGGGGGACAGGGCAGGGAUGGGGCGGGUGUAUGUUGCCCCAUCCCCGCCCCAUUUUAAGGCGGGGGUAAAAAAAUGGCGGGGGUAAAUAUUUUACCCCCGCCCCAUCCCCUGCCCCAUUUGUAUCCCCGCAGGCACCCGUCCCCAUUGUCAUCCCUAAUUAUGAUCCUAACUAAAUUUCGAUGCAGUAAUCUUGCCAAGUAUGCUUUUCACUAGAGCUAGAUUUGUAGUCACAAAAUUUUAAAGAAGUUGUUUUUUCAUUUCUCCCACUGAAUAGUUAGAAAUUUAAAAGAUUGAAACUAUUAAUAUAACUGUCAUAAGAUGUAAAAUUGGUGGUUCAGACCAUUGACGAUAAAAUCUUUUGCGGGUUUCCCUUUUUUUUUUUUUUGAAAAUUUAGAUAUUGUGGCUACUUGAAAAGCCUCAUGGAUUACGUAAAAAGUUACAAGUCUUAACUUUUACAUUUUUCCAAUUAAGAAAAUCUAACAAAAAUGGAGCCGAUUUUAUUGGUUGUUGGUUAACACAACUUAGUUGAAGAUUAUGAUUUUGUAAUAGUUAGCCUAUGCACAACUAAGUCCUAAUGGCUUUAUGCUUAAACGAUCAAAUAAAUUUUCUUAAUGUUUUAUGUAAAUUGAAUAGAGUUAAAGUAGGAGAAGUGCAACAACAAUAUCACUGCUAUGGUACUGGAUAGGGAAGGGAAGAGAACCUUAGAAUAUGCAGAUAAAUAAAAAUAUUAUUCAGUUCAAGUAAUAUUUUUAUUCUUCAAUUUCCAUUUUGAGCAAUUGAAUUUUGACAGAUUGUUGUUAAUUAAGCAUUUCAUCCAGAUUCUUGAUAUUUAACUAACAAAUUUACCUUAGUUUUUGCCUUUUCAUUCUGUGUUUGUAUGAGGAGAUAAUUUAAUUUACAGGAGAGUUCAUCAACUGCAGUGAACUGGUAUGUUGUAUGCUUGUUAUGAUAUGAUCUAGCCUUUACUGAACCAAAAGUGAAGAAAGUUGACUUGGUCGUUGGAUUUGGGUUUCGUAUCGGAUCCUGGUCAGAUAAAAAAGGACAGCUAGAAGAGACAGCAAAAAAUGCAAAAGGGAUUUUGCUUAGGAGUUUAAAAGAAGGCAAUUUCAGGCUUUCUUACCCUGUUUGGAUUGUCGUUUUCUAUCGGAAAAUUUCGUCAUUUUUCGUGGUCAUAUUUUCCUAUUACCUUUUCCCCUCACCUACAUUAAAUCGCUGCAGUAAUUUUUUCAUGAAAAAUGCAAUCCAAACGAGGAAAAUGUGACCACGGAAAACGACGCAAUCUUCCACGUUGGGUUUUAGUAUAGGUGUCAAAUAAACACAUUUAACUAAAUUUAUCUAUACCUGUCCAUGAAUAGAUGGGUAUGAGUAUCUUAAAUUUUUGUAUAUAGAUAUAAAUGAGUUAUCCAAUAAUACCCAUUAAAUAAAUGGAUAUUAUUUGGUAAUCCAUCAAAUCCAAUUAACCCAUUUAAAAUUGUUUUUCCCCGUGCCUUCUCUCUUCCCCGCCCCCUUUUUUUUAAAAUUUUUUUUCAUUUUAUCAUGAUGUUAACUACUUUUGUUUCAUUAUUAUUAUUAUUAGUAUUAUUUGUUAGUUUUAUCUUAUCAUUUUAUUAUCUCAUAGUUUGUUAACUUGCUCAUUUUUUAGCAUUAUUAAUUUAUGACAAGUUUUAGCCUCUUUUCCUACCUUUCUAAAAUGAAAUUUUAAAUUUACACAUGAAAAAAUGUUAGGGGUUCAAAAUUUUUGAAUUAAGUUUUUAUAUUAGAUUUUAUAGUACUUAGUUCAAAAUUUUAUAUUCUUAUUAUUCAAUUAUUAAAUAUUGCGUCAUAGAAUACAGAUGGAAAAAAUUGGUAAUUAGGUUUAUUGAGUAUUAUAAGUAAAUAUUUAAAACAAAUGAUGGGUGCAAAGGAUGGUACAAAUUGAUAACUUAGUUUGCAAAAAUGAAUUUAAAUGAGUUUACAAAAAGUUAAAAUAAAUGGGUUAUAAAUGGGUAAUUGGAUAAUCCAAUUUAUUUUUUGAUUUACCCAUUUAUACCCAUUUAAUUAAAUAGAUAUAAAUGGAUUGACUCACUUAUACCCAUUACCCAUUUUAACCAAUCCAAACCCACCCAAAUCACCCAUUUUGACACAUCUAGGUUUUUAGGAAUGCUUAAAGUGAUUACCUUCAAAUUUAGAUAUUCACUUACCGACUAGAGUCAUUCGACGAGUCUUGCAGCUCUUUCAAAUUGUACGACAAGAAAAUGAGUGUUUCAAAGUUUAAUGCCCAACAGGGAAAAUAAUUGAAAGUACAAGUUCAUUGUAAACUUAGACUAAAAGGUUUGACGCCCAGCAAAUUUACUAUUUAAAAUAUUUCAAAGCUAAAUUUCUCACAAUUGUUACAAUAAACAUCGGUCUAAUUUUCUAUUAGAGAUGCCUUUGUCAGACAAGUACCUAGAGCUGUUAAUCGAACUGGGUAACUCGCGAGUUGAGCUCGAUUAGGCUCGUUAAGGGUUCGACUCGACUUAUUUUUCUAAGUAAAUGAGUCGAGUCCGAGUUCUAUAUGUAUUCGUUUAUGAAUCGGCUUGGCUUGCAAACUACUCAAAAAUCUCAAAAUAUAAGGAUAUUAGUGUCAUUUCAUUGCAAUUUUGAUAAUUACAUCCUAAACUUCAAUUCUCAAAUGAGGAUUCUUAUUGCUGUCCUAAUUUUUCUUGCCUCUUCCCUUUUCCACAAUCUGCACCCGCACUUUCUUUCACACCAAUCCAUCCACCACUUUACAACCAUCACUUGAGCUCGUUAAGCUCGACUCGAAUUUUAAAUUCGAGUUCAAGUUUAAAGUCGAAUUUGACGAGUCAAUCUCGAACAACUUUUAACGAUUAAACUACUAAUCGAGCUAGCUCGAUAAAUAUUCAAGUUGAGGUUGAGUAUCUUGUACUCGAUCUAUCGUGGCGCCUCGCGUGAGAUUGUGUCCUAGCACUUUAUACAUAUAGGCUUGUAGUGGUAAUUAAAUCUUGAGACUGGGACUAAGUGAAACACUUUAAAGCCCUUGGCAUUUGAUCAAAAGACGAACAAACAAAAAAUGCCCUUGGCGUUAUUAGCCCGCCCCGGCCCAUCUCUCCUCACCCGUUCCAUUUGCCCCCGCGCUUGGGCCCCUUUCUACCUUCCUCCACCAUCGACCCCCUACAAAGUUCUUUCCUCUCGAUCUCAUCCUGCUCCCCUUCCCCGCCACUAGCAAAUCCAGGUAAUGUCCCUUUUUAUAUGUUUUCUACCAAAAGCACUGCCCCCUCUGCAUCGGAUUUUUUUCGGAAUUUAGAACGUUAUUUCGGGUGAAAUUUAGCUUGAGAUUGUUUGUGACUUGCGAUCGAAUUUGAGUAGUUCAAAUUGUUUAUUGUCAAAUAUAUCGAGUAAUUUUUUGGGGGCUAGUUAAGUGUUUCUUCUAUUUUAUGUAAAUAAUUUUCUGCCUAAUAAUCAAAUUGACGAAUGUGGACUGGCUGGCUAUUGGUAGACUCCUGCUCAUUUCUGGGCAGUGUCGAAUCAGGUGCUGGCAGAGAAUCUUGUCUUUUUUUUUGGUCAUUUUCUCAUGUCAUUAAAAUGUUAAAAAAUUACUUUGGUUGGCGUGGUUAAUAUCGGAUUUCUGCUUUGGGAGCUAGCUGAAAAAAUGGGCAGGUUUUGUUUCUCCGUUAAAAAUUUCUAGGCUUGGGCAUGCGAAUUUUGCAGGUGUGGAAGUGGUUGCAGUCGGAGGGGGAAAAAAUCUUAAGAUGAUAAAGAAACAUUAGAAAAAUAUUUAGACAAAUUUCAGUGAUAGGCCGAGCUUCUAAUUUCUUGGAUUAGUUGAUGCUUCUAAUGAAUUUUGCGCAUGUACUUUGAUACAACUAUUUCAUAAUUGGGGUGUGAGAUUGUGUUUAUGGUGUUAAACUGCAGGUUAAAUUGAAAUAUCAAAUGGGAAGCAAAGGUCGAAUCCCACCUCCCCAUCUGCGGCGGCAACUUCCCGGCCCUGGUAUGGGGCAUCCGGACCCCUUUGGUCCUGCUAUUCAUCCCCCACCUGGUGGUUUCCCUCCUUUUGAUAUGUUGCCUCCACCGGAAAUUAUGGAACAGAAGCUUGCUACCCAACAUGUAGAAAUGCAAAAACUUGCAACAGAGAACCAAAGGCUUGCUGCGACGCAUGUAUCUCUGAGGCAAGAACUUGCUGCUGCGCAGCAUGAGCUGCAAAUGUUGCACGCAAACAUAGGGGAUAUUAAAUCUGAGAGGGAACAGCAGAUGAGGGGUCUUAUGGAUAAAAUCGCAAGGAUGGAGGCUGAACUCCGAGCUGCAGAACCGAUUAAAAAGGAGUUGCAUCAAGCUCAAACUGAAGCUCAGAGCUUGGUUGCCGGAAGGCAGGAACUUAUUUCCAAUGUGCAGCAGCUAAAUCAAGAUCUUCAGAGGACUCAUUCUGAUAUACAGCAGAUUCCUUUCCUGCUGUCUGAGCUUGAUGGUCUGAGACAAGAGUAUCAACAUUGCAGGUUCUUCCCCCACCCCCCAAUCACCCAACCCAAAAAAACGCACUUUUGUGCAUUUAUAGAUGCCAAGAAACUAGAUGGAUAUUGAUAUUCCUACCUUGGAAUAAGGGUCAAUCUGCUUGAACAUCCAAUUACUGCGCUUGAUUGGAUCUUUUCAUUUGCGCUUCCCCCCCCCCCUCCCCCAUGUCUCUCUCAAAUCAAAAAAUGCUUGAAGGGUUUUUAUACUAAGUGAUAUAUGAUCUAGCCUAUUAGUUGCAGUUAAAAUAUGCUUGUCACUUUUUUGGCUUUUGUAGCUUAAUGUUGUCAUUUAGUAUUAGUUGGAAUUUAGGAAUUAACUGCUGCUGAUGUUUUGUGAACGUUUGAUGCAGAGCGACCUAUGACUAUGAGAAGAAACUGUAUAAUGACCAUCUCGAAUCUCUUCAGGUGAUGGAAAAGAACUACCUAACCAUGGCCAGAGAGGUGGAAAAGCUUAGGGCCGACUUAGCUAAUUCCUCUAAUUUUGACAGGAGAACUGGUAUUAUAACUAAAUAUCCUAUUUUUCUCGUGUAGAAAUCUGGUUUUUGUAACACUGGAGGGUUCAUAUAGAUAUGAUGCAUUGGCAAAUGCAGGUCUGACUUAUGGUGGUAAUAUGGGAUAUAGUGAGAAUGAUGCUUCUGGGAAUUACCCAGUUGGACCAAAUGCCUAUGGCAAUGGUUAUGGUGUUUUGCAGGUUUGUAGCUUUUUCAAUUAUAGUUUGAAUUGUAACUAUUUAUCAUCCUUUGCUUUUGGAAAAUACUUUAAACAUCAUAUUUUCUAAACUUAAGCAAAUAUAUGCUCACUUUGCCUGUAAUAAAUUGAAUUUGGCCAGUAUUGCGCGAUUUUGUAAAUUUAUAUCAUAUAACUGGCUUUUUAGUCCUAUCAGUUUUCCUAGAUACAUGGAAACAUCUCAUUAUGGAGGAUUUUUUGUGUCUUGAUGAUUUCAAAGUGGUAAUGUGUGAUUGCUAUGCUUAGAAGCAAGUGUUGCAGGCAUGUCAAAUCUUGGCUGUUCUUUAGUUGUGAUUGCGACUCUUACAAGCAGACAAGUAUUGUUAAGGAUGUCAUACUUCUAAUUUUGUGAUUAUAGCUAGCAGGUUUAGGGUUUAGGCUCUGGAGUAUUAGAUGUUUGCUGUCCUAGAAUUUUGGACAUCUGUUGCCUGGGAAAGAUGCCAAAUAGCUGAAUAUAAGUUGAUUUUCUCUUCUUUAAAGAGUUGAAGAGAAUUUGAUCUCACGAUGCUACUUUUAGCUUUCACAGUUUCCUGAUUACAUGGUUGUAUUCUGUAAUGCAGGGCAGAGGCCCUCAUUCUGGAGAUGGAAGCAGUGGUGCAGCUGCAGAUGCUGCUGGUGCUGCUACUGGUGGGGCUACUCCUCCUGUUGGAGCUCCCUCUGGCUCUGGAAAUGCUCCACUUGCAACAAGGGCUGCUUAUGAUGCAGCAAGAGGUCCCACUUUUGACACCCAGAGGGGUCCUACUGGGACUGCUUAUGAUGCACACAGGGGAGUUGGUGGCCCUGGAUAUGAUGCACAGAGAGGAAAUGCAGUACCUAGUUAUGAAGCACAAAGGGGACUUGGGUAUGAAGCUCAUAGGAGGACUGCUUCUGAUGGGCAUGGCCCCACUUUCAGUGGAAAUGCUGCAGCCCCAUACAAUUUCCAGAGAGGUUCAGGCUAUGAUGGACAAAGAGGAGGCUAUAAUCCCCAAAAAAGUGUUGGAUACGAUUCAUCAUCAAGAGCUGCAGGGUCUCAAGGACAGGCAGCACCGGUGAGGAAUGCACCUUAUGAGUCAGCAGCUCCAUCUGCUCGUGGAGUGGGGAUGGGAUAUGAGGCACCACCACGAGGUGGAAAUGCUGUUCGAAGAUGAACUGGAGAAGGUAUCUACAUUUUCCUGGUCUUGUUCUGGCAGGGAAAACCAUGACCUUUACUUUCAUGGAACCAUGUGCUUAGAGGAGGUCCAAGAAUUGUUCUGGAGCUAUCCUCAAGGUUUAGCAAACUGCAAGCAAACAGCUAAUUGUUGAUAAAUUGGUGUAUGCUUCUCUAGAGGAGCGUGAUCAAUUAUCGCCUGAAAACGGAGAUUUCAACUCUCUCUCUCGCACCUGGCCCCUUUGUGCUACCUUCGUGACUGGAUAAAAGCUCCCCAGGCUGAGCCAUUAUUGAGUAGUAAUUGACAUUUUAUUCUCUUUUAAAAGUUAAGGAUUUCUGAAUACUGCAGUCAGCAGCAAAACUAAGCAUACUGUACUUAAAGCAUACGUACUAGAACUGAAAACCAUUGAAAAUCACUAGUAGUUCUUACGGCUUCAGAGUAUCACCAUUUGUAUAAGUUAUUCUGGCGCAAUCUACCAUUCCGUUGCAUUUUGAUCUUUCUCUGUAUGUGGCAUUCUGGUCUGGUGAACUGGGUUUACUGCUUCAAUUUGUCAGUACUUACUACUUAUAGGUACUUGGCAACGUUCAUGUCGCUUUCUGGUGAAUAAGAGCAUGAGUAAUAACUCGAAAGUGCUUUAUCAAGCGUGUAGCUAUACAAGAUAAAACCAUUUGUUGCCUUCAUGGUGUAUUUUAUGAGCUAGCACCGGCCGCACAAUGCAGAGGGCAUAAGAGAAAUGGAAGAAGACAGGAGAAAUAACAACAUACGGAAAAAAAGAGAGGGGGUGGGGGGGGGUGGGGUGUGAUAUCGGUUAGUUAUCUUCUUGGCUAGGAGAUUGACAUCUCAAGCCUUGAGAAGGGAGUAAUAAGAGUCUUCACUUUCAACUCUUAAUGCCUAAAUUUAAAUUUGACAAUAUCACCUUUUAUUAACUUGCGUGGCUUCUUAAAUUGAACAAUAUCAGCCAGAUCAAGUAUGUAAAAUGUCUUCAAGAGAGAGGUAAUUUGUUAAUUUAGGGAAUGAGCUUGAAAGAAAUUGUGUCAAUUUGCAAUGUUUUCUAAAAGUUUGUUAAUGGUAAUUGAAACUUUUGCAGUUAGUAUAGGCCAGAGAUAUUUAGUACGCUAUUUUCUUUUUUAAAAAUCUAAAAAGACUUGAUAUCCAUGCAAUUGUUAAUACUAACGUUUUGUAUUAUAAAAUAUUUGUAGAAAACUAAUUUCAAGCUAUUGCUUCUUGAAUUGAUCUAGUUUGGAACUGUGUGCUCUUUACUAGUCUAACAAUCUGUUUGGAUGAAAGAAAAUGGAUUGAAAAAGAAGAAGGAAAAGAAGAGAAUGGGUGGGAAAAUGACGAUUUUCUUUUGGUUGAGAGUUUUGACAAGUGGAAACAGAAAAGAAACGGAAAGAAAUGUAAUGAUGCAUCGCUUAAGAGUUAGAUAUGCAAGGAUUGAUACUGGAAUUUGAAGAAUUAAUUGAUAUAAAAUCCUUUUUCUCAUAAUGGAGUCUAUGCCAAAACUGAAACCUUGAAUUAUGGGGUUUUUGGCAGUUUGUUUCAUUGUUUUGAUGGCAAAUAAAAUGUUCUCUCUUAGCUGAAAUGAGAGCGGAUUACGUGUUUGUUUAAAGUCACCGGGAAAUGGUUGCACAUGGUGGUGGAAUUAUGUGGGAGAUCUGAUCAUUUUGGUAGAAGAAAGAAAAAGACGUUUUAAGUUUGCCCAUUUUUUGUAUUAUUUUAUUUGAACCCCUAAAAAAAUAUUCUGGUCAAAUUUAAGUCUUGUGUAAAUUCUUUUGAAGGGCAUAUUUUUAAUUCCAAAUUAAUGUGUUACUGAGUUUGUCUUUUGGCUGAUUACCUUUACCAGAAAAGUAAAAAUUUUCAGUUUUAGCAAAAGCACCAGAGGAUCCUUUGUAAGUAUCAAAAGGAUUGGGAGGUAAAUUUUAAAUUUGCUUUUUUUUUUUUAAUGAGAAAGAGGGAGUUUCAUGUAAUUUAGCCUAAAGAACAUGUUAAUUGUUGGAAGGAACAUAUAUACUUGUUUUCCCUAUGCUUAUUACGACAUAAAAUCUCUUAUUACGAUAUAAAAUCUCUUAGUUUGCCUGGAGUUGUGGCUUCUGGCCUUCUAAAUUACUGAAUACUUUGACGAGUAUUCUUUGUUCACAAUUAAUUCAUAUUUUUAUUAAGAGUUCACCUACAGAAAAUGGUUCUAAAUUUUAACAUUCGUAAGCAAUAAACACAAAUAUAGAAAUUCUUAAAAUCAAGAAAGUGGGUUAUCCAUUAGUUUGCUUCUAUCGCUUAAAUCGUACAUCGCUUAGCAUAGGAUUUUCCUUCUGUAAAUAAUUGGUCUACACAUAACUAUGACACGUCGGGUCCUUUUAGGGGUUUUUGGAGUUCAAAACUUAGUAAAGAAUCAGGAAGGAAGUUAUCGAGGAUGUGCAAUCCUUUGAUUCACAUUAUCCCUCAGACAAUCUAUCAUCCUUGCUUUGAUAAAAUGACAAACAGCGGAUUGUGUUGCCUUCCUGACCUGCCGACAGAAGAGGCUUGAUUUGAGUUUGAGAAAACUAGUUGGAAAAAUGAAAAAGAUAAUCGAAAGAAUAAAUAUUAUCUUCCUGCAUUUCUUAACAAGGAAAACCAUAACGUUGAAAUGAGGCUGAAUCAGAUUUUCAUGCUUCUCAAUAAUUCUCGGCACAUCCUUGCAAUGGAUACACUACAGUACCAACUGGUCAUCGAACUGCUGCUGCUAGAGUGUUAGAUGGACUUGAAGAGUUGCCUCUUGAAACUCUGAAUGCAAUGCACAAUUCUAUUGCUUAAAUUCUGGAAACAAUGUGGUCGUUGCUGAAAUUGAAGCAUUGCAUGAAAACUUGAAUCAGCGGGCAGACUCUAAAAAGUUUGAGAAUUCAAAGCAAUGGCCGUGCUUGGCUAUGAGGAAUCUUUUCAUGGAUUUUCUUUUUGAGUGUGGUGAUAUGGAAAUUAUCCCAGAAUGUUUUUCCAGCUUUGCAGGAGCAGCUCAAAGGAUGAAGUGGAACAGGAGGUAGAAUUCUUAUUACGGUUGAGUGCCCAGGCUUGAUGUCACUAAAUUCUUGAUGAAGGACGGAUUACGCCAGACAAAUGAUAGAGACCCCUUCAUGAUACUGAAUGACACCUCCAGCAAACAAAAGAAAAAAAGGGUAAAAAAAUAAAAAGUCCCUUGUGAUAAAUUUAAUACAUAAAAAAGCCCCUCAUAGUUUCAAAACGUACAAAAUGACACCUCAUGCUUUGAACUAAAUUGUAAAGGUGAUGAAAUCUGUUAAAAUUAACGGAAAUGACUUAUUGGAACCUAAAAAAAAAUUUUAUGCCUAAUUUUUAAUAAAUAUACCUGUUCUACCCCUUAACUCCUAGUUCUCUCUCUCUAGAGAAUGAAACAAAUAAUUUUGUUGAACUAUCUUUUGUUUAUUUAUAUUAGAGCAUUUUUGUCAUUUCAUCCGUUCUCGUUCAUUUUAACGGAUUCCGUUAGUUCAAAGUAUGAGAUACUAUUUUGUAUAUUUUGAAACUAUGGAAGGCUUUCUUGUAUGUUAAGGGCUUUUUUAUUUUUUACCCAAGAAAAAAUAAAUCACUACAUAUUGACGGAAGACAAAAAUUCUUCUACAGUUCAUGGGAGGAAACCGUCCCAGACAACUCAUCUAUAUACUCAACUCAAUUAUGGACAGGAAAAAGUUUAAAGAGAGCUUAAUUAUCCAAGCAGCCAUUAAUUUGCCUUCUCUUCAUGUUUCUUUGGCUACAGCUGAGAUGGUUAUGGAAAAUAAUAGAAAGAAUCUAAGAAGGGAUAUGCAUGGAUGGCUACGGUAGUGAGUGGUGGGUAUACAAUAAAACCACAAUUGCGAAACGAAGUAACAAACAGCCUUAUAGGCUUAGACAGGAGGAAACAAAGUAUCACUCGCAUUUGCAUUGAAUCCUAUGACUGUUCUUGAAAUUGAAGUUGAUCAGCAAGCUUCCAUCCAUUCUCCUGAAAACAAAGCUCUCAACCAACAAAUAGCACCCAAACCUUCUCCACCCGUUCUCACUUCUAAUCUCGUUUUCCCCCUCUACUCUAACAUCUUCCACUCCUCCAUCAAACCAUCCUCUGCUCUCUUGCAUCCAUCUUAAUUUCUCAUAUAUAACUCUACUCAGACCUGCAGUUGCUUUCUUCCCAGAUCUGGCUUUGGCCCUAAACCAAAUGAACCCGUCACCAUCAUUUCUAGAGGUGUCUUGUUUCUCUGCCUCCAUACCAUAAACUAACGUAACAAACUUUCUUACGCAUGCAUCUACUACUACAAUAUUGCCUCUGUCGCCUUGGUUUUCACACGAAUAAAUUUGUUCCCACCAUUGCUUAAGAGUCAACUCAUAGAACAGAGAAGCUUUCAUCUGUUCCUUCACUUUGGCUCUUUCUCUGACAAAUACGAAAGGGCAGUACCACUUGCCUAUAAUAAUGGGAGAGGAUCGCCUGGGAAGUAGCGGAACAUGAAAUUCAGGGACAUCUGAUAGAGAAGUGGUGCGGAUGCCUUGAGCUUCUCUUAGGUGAAGUCUGAAUGAAUGCGAAAUGUGAACUUCCCAUCCUCUCUUUCUCAGGAACUUUGGAGGAAAACCAUCCCAAGCAACCGGAAUCGCGUAAAAUCCACCAUUUCCAUAUGGGCGAAUCUCAAAUUGCUGAUACACGUCCCUGUGAUCAAAAGGCUGUGGCUUUGCAUCCACUCUCACAUUGUUGUAGCAGCAUGUUUCGAUACCAUCCUCUCUGGAACAUGUAUAUGCUUGCCUACACACAAGCAGCCAAAGCUUGAGUUUCCACUAACAUUGAUAAGCAGUAACUAACUAUCCUAUGAAUACUAAAAAUAUGAAACAGAUAAUUAUGCAUACCCUUUGUGGUAGCCUCCUGCUUUGAUUACAUAAUACCGAUUGGAUGACAAAGGUUGAUCAGGGACUGGUAUGAACCAGACCUUCGAAACUCUUGACUGCUCAUGUUCUGAUGUGUGAACAAUGUUCAAAAUCCUGUCUUGAGGAAAGGGUAAUCUCUUGAUUCUGUUGCUCUUGCAUAUGCCCCAACAAAAGUUAUCCAUUUCUUCUGAUUCCUCAUCACUGACUACUAUGAACCCUGUACAUGGAGAGUCCGAAGGGGGACGGGCUAAGAGGGCACUUGGAUGGUUACGGUAGAGGGAGAGUGGUCUAGUGACAAACAUAGCUGAUUUUCUAGCAACUGCAACAGUGUCCUUAUAAUUCAGGAAUCAAACUUACAACUCCUAAAAAAUUGAGGUUGCGCAAUUACAACAAGCGACAGUGACAAAUUAAAGCUGAAUGACUAAUGUAGCUUUACACACAGUGUAUGCGGAGCAAUGCAUGGAAUGCAAGCUAGUUGCUACUGCUAAUAAUUGUCAAUAUCAAGUUCAAUUGAAUAAAGUGAUCAAUCCACUGAGAAUUAAGACAAGAAAGUAGAGGAUAGAUUGAAAAGUUAAAAAAAGCAACUUUGUUAUCUCAUUUCCCACUUUCCUUACGUCUAAAGUUAAAGGCGGUGCUCAAAGGGUACUAUGUUGUUUUAUUGAUACUCCGACUCCCUCACCAUAAUCAGUUGACGUCUGGCACCCAUUAUACUGAAUCAGUACAUCGUAGCCAAAAACAGGAUGUGAUUAUUAAGAAAUAUGACCCAUGGCCAUGAGGCGAUAGCAAUUAGUAAGGACUAGGCCAUGUCAAUCGCCUAACGAGUCGGCUUUUAUAAGUUUGAAUUCAAUUCAUUUAAUUUAUAAUAUUUUGAGUUUCGAGUUAAUAAAUGUGAAGUUCAUACGUAAUUCGCAUAAUAUUCGUAUUGCGAGCUUUAUUCGAAUUAAUCCAAACUCAUUUAUUACUCCUUAAUUUUCUUAAUAUAAUUACUAUAACUAUUAAAUUGUAAAACUAAUUUAAUAUUUAUAAGACUACAAUAUUAAAAUUAAAUAUAAACAAAUAAUAGUUCUUAAAAAGUAUAUAAAUAAAAAAAAUUUCAACAAUAUUUAUAUUUAAUUCGUACAAAAUACAUGAAAAAUAAUAAUAAAACAUGUGGUCAUAAACCAAUACGUCUUUGAAAGUUGAAACUUUUUUAUAGCCUUGUGAUUUAAAUCCAAACACACUUGAUGAUUUGUGUUUCUAGAUCAAAAAGAAAUCAACCAAUAUUAUGCCAAUACAAAAAUUUACUUAACUAAUAAGAAAAGUUAGAGAUUCAGUUAUGCAUUAUUAAUAUUGGCUCUCAAAAAAACUCAUAGAAAAGUUUUCAGAUGGUAUUUUUGUGUUUUGUAAUUUACAUAUAUUUAGUAUUUAGUAAUAAUAUAUUUGAAUAUAUAAUUAUACAUAAUAUCAAAAUAUAAAUAUUAUAUAUAUAUAUAUAUAUAUAAGUCUUAAAGGGCCAGAUCUAUAUUGAAUUUGAGCCUAAUAAGACUCAAAUUCGACUCAUAUUUAAUUCGAACCUAAUUUUUAGACUCAAACUCAAAUCAACUCACUAAAAGAUCGGGUUCAUCAAGCUUUUUGUCGGACCGAACGAGCCGAGCUCAGACUGAUCCAAUCCUAUCGACUGUCCUAGCAAGUAUUAAGAGCUAAGGAGCCCAAAGCCAUUUACCAGAUUAAGCUUCUGCAGACUCAUCGUUUCCACCUCUAGCGGAACUACCGACUACGUACUUUCUCCUUUUUCAGGUGCCAAAUCCACUCUAUCUAAAAUGGUGCUCGAUACGAUCCCAUUCUCUUUAUGUUAGCUUCCAUAAAUUUACUGCCUCAUCAAUGAAUCAUUAAGCUUGGCAAGAGCUGUUUCUAUCCAGCUCAUGUAAUCAAUCUACAGAAUGCCCCUUUCAAAGUUCAGGAAGAGCAUCCCUAGAGUGAAACUAGCAUCACGCAUCAAUAAGUUAUACCAGUCAGACAUCGUGCCCCUGCACAAACAUACAUCCAAGAAAAUGGAUACAAAGACACACGUCACUGGCUGUGCCAAAAAGUACGAAUAAAUUCUUCAUGAAGGAUGAAUUUAAACCAAACAAAUAAUAGAGACCCCUUCAUGACACUGAAUGACACUUCCAGCAAACAAAAGCAAAAAUAAAUCACCAAUAGUUCAAAGAUUACUUCUAUACAUAUUGACAGAAGACAAAAACUCUUCUACCGUUCAUAGAACAUCACAUUACAUGAGCCAGGGGAAAAAAAUUAAAAUUAAAAUUAAAAUAUAAAUGAGUCUAUAUUUAUUUUAUGACCUACUCUUACUUGGUUAACAAACAAAAACCACUUAUUCAGAUUAAGGGGCCCAACUUAGCCAAUCAACUCUUAUUCUGAAUACCUAAUUCAAGCUUAUCUCUUCAAGAGAAGAGACACAAGUACAGAUACAAGUCCCAAGCAAAGCUGCCUAUGACUUGAGUUUCAGAUAUGCUUUUAUAAUUCCCAUCAUUUCACUUCCGGGAAAGCGUCCAAGACAGCCUCUUGCAGCUGCUAUCUCAUCAAACACACAAACAGAAUCGCCAGAAAAAGCUUUUGCCUGUUUGCUUUUGGUACUUUCUUGAUUACCCAGAUCAUCCAUUAUGUCCUCACUAGCACUGAUCACCGGUAGUGGAAACGGUUCGAGAGAAGUUUCUGAAAGAAGAACCUCACCAAGUGCACCCACAAAAUCUUCUAGUUGACACAAUGUAAACGGCACUGGUUCAAAACUGUGGUCUCCAUAUUCAACUGGAGUAGAGUGGUCCCCAGUGACGCAAAGAAAGUAUUUGAAUUUUCCAGUUGAUUGUGUCUGCCAGAGAAGCUUAGCCAGCUGCCCAAUAGCUCUAUCAACAGCUUCCAAACCCUUGACUUUAAAAAUGCUUGCUUUAUCAUGACCAGCAUCAUCUAUUGCCUAUAGAUCCAUUAAGGUUAAAAAUCAAUGUUUUUGGCAAGCUAUUCAAGUGAUUCAGAGCACCACAAGCAUCCAAACUAUGUCAAAAAAUGCCAAGGCUCUAAUCUUCUAUAUGUGUAAUCCUUCUAUAAAUUCCGUAUUUGACCAUAUGCCAACUAAUAGGUCCUACAAAAUCUAACUGUUAGCAUGAAAGAUAUCACUCUAACUAUAAAUAUAUGUGCAGAUAUUCUUGUAAAUCUCUUGAAAUUAAAAUUCAUGUUUUUGUGUUUAAUGCUAAUGUUUUCCUUUGACAUGAUAUGUUAUAAUACUGCAUGAAGAUAGAUUUAAUUCAAGUUGGGGUUCUAAACUAGCUGAUGUCCAAACUGCAGGGCACUACAACUUCUAAAACUUUGCAGGAGAUAAAGAGGCAGAAAGAAAAUAAAGGAAAAUGCAUACACAUUAAAAAACCACCUUGAUGUGAAGGAAACCAAAAUCGUAGCCUCCUGAUCGACCAGGUUUGUGUUCAUCCUCCCCAGGUACAAAAACAUUAGGACAAGACUGCCAUGGAGCUGAGAGGGCCUUAGCUACGGCAGUUGCUUUGGAAGUCAAAAGGGUUCGAUAGUCUCCUGUAGCUCCUGGAGCUUCUAGAAUGUCGAUACCGAGGGAUAAACCCAAGCCAGCUAUAAUUUUGGUUGGAGCUACCAUGCAUGGCCAUAGCCCUUGUAGACUUUCAAACUGAGGAACCUGCACCAUGCAAUGAUAAUAAGAUCAGAAACUUUCACAGACAAUUGCUCUGAAUCGUAAAAAGUGAAAGGUGGUGUGCAAUAAAAUAUAAUUACUUCUCCAAUUUUUCUUCCCAGCUGAUGGAGCAAGUUUAGUUUCUACGAACAUACACCCAAAAGGAAACACGACCAGAGAAUUCUUUAUAUUCACAAGACAUACCUCAAUUCUAAUACCACAACCUCGUAGGAGAACAACGUUAGCGAUGCUUUUUCCUUCGACAGCCCUUUUUGCAUUUAGUGGAUGUGCAACCAAGAUUCGUGACAUUUCCUUGGACAACUCAUUAACCACUUCAGCUGUAUGCUUUGCCUCAUCAGUUUUGUCAAGAGCUUGAGCUUGUAAAAGUAAGCGAUUGUCCUUUAAGGGAUCUGUCCCUGAUAUAUUGCCGCUUAACUUUGGUCCUUUUACAACCACCCCACAUCUAUGCUCCGUUGCAUAUCUGCAGCAGAGGAUUUGCAUUGCUUCUUAUCUUCACAGAGAAAAUAAAAAGCAACAUAAAGUUCUUAUGACUGACAGGAAUAUCAACUUGAUGGCUGGCAACAUAAGAAAAUAAUUUUGGAAAAACAUCUUAUAGGACCUAUUCCAAUCAGUAAAAACUUUGGAACAUCAUGACUAACUAAUACUAUGCCUAUAUUUACCUCUUUUUGGAAACGUGGAUAAAAAUCUGAGAAUUACAAGCAAAUAAUUGAAACCUCAUAAAAGGUAUGUCAUGUUGCAUGGAAAAGAAAUGCAAGUAAAAGCACUCGACCUGACUCUAACUUCAUACUGGGGAAAAGAUGGCAGUUUCAUUCCAUCCAGCGCUGCACAUAGAAUAGGUCCUUCCUCUUCAAAGUGCCUAUCAGCCCUCCGGCUAAUGACAAUUCCAGUUUUCUCAUCCAAGGUUGCGAAGUUUGACUGAGAAUACAAGUUGGAAAAGGACGUAGCUCAGAAGCAACCACGUGAUAAGUUGAUAACCAGCUUAGAUGAAACCACAUAUGUCAUGUCGAAUAUGAAUACCCCUUGCAUAGCUGAUAGAUUGAUCACAUGCAAACUAAUGAGACAUUUUUAAAAUAGGAAACGAGGUAAGCACAUACUUUAAAAGCAAUAUCUCCAGGUGACAUUGCUAGUCCAGCACCCAUUGAUUCAAAUGCACCCCGACCCCGAUAAUACACCCUUGGAUCAUAGCCCAAUAAAGAAAGAUGAGCAGUAUCACUUCCACAAGCCAAACCCACUUCCACAGGAUCCAUCAGGCCAUUGACUCCAGCAGAUGCAAUGGCGUCCAAGUUUGUUGUUUUGGCUGCUUGUAAAGGGGUUUUGUAGCCAAGCUUUGGCAAUGAUACAUCACCCAAUCCAUCAAUUAACACAAAUGCCACCCUACUCUUUGGCUGAUCCAAAUUCACCAUGCUUCUAUAGGAUGUGAUAAGCUUUUCCCUCUAUGCACUUUGCUAAGAUUAUCAGUGGAGAAGUUAUAGCACAACAAGUGAUGGCACCAAUGUUUUGGAUAGCUUUGACUGAUAUGAGGAUGAUAGCAUAUAGUUUCCUAACCAAGACAACAGCUGUCAAAGAUCAAAGAGAUAAAGACUUGAACUUGAAAUUAUGUAAGUGAUAGCAAGAGUUGACGCUUUAUGAAUUCUACUUGUAAGGCUUCCAAUCUUGACAAAGAAUUUAGCAAUCAGGCGAUACUCAAUGAAAGGGAGCAAUAUUAGCUGAUGCAUAAAAGAACCAAAUAAGUUUAAGUCUCAGAAUCACAAAUUAACAUGUAUUAAAUUAUCAACAAUCAAGAUAACUCAUGAAAUCCAAUAAUAACUCAAGCAGGAAGAAUACAUCAACCAUAAAGCAAAUGUUCAGGUGCUCAAACAAUUACUAUAAUUAUAUGCAACUUCAACCGCCAAAGAAAUGCAGUUCAUCCACCAGAAUUGGAUGGUAAUAACGCCAUCGUUGAAGCUGUAACUAUAACAAACAGCAGAAAGCUGACAGCACUUUCUACCACAAACGCUAUUUACCUUUUCCACGAUAAAUACUUCUACAUGGUGAUGCAAUACUUCAAAUAGGGAAUUCAUGCCCCCGUUAAACUUUCAGUAACCACUAGAACCCAAAAAAAUAAUAAUAAAUAAAGCUACAAGAAUCAUAAUGGACAGCCAUGGAACUUUACAAGCAGGAAACCACAAGAAUUAUAAUGGACAACCAAAGUUUAAACUUGAAAAUUUAACAUCUGCACUGAUAUUUAGAAGCUCGAGCAUCACCAAAUUAAAAAAACAAAAAAAAAAAGAGUACCAAAGCGUAGCUUGCUUAAUGCCUAAAUGGAUGAUCAAAGUAUCAAAACUUGUAAUUUCAAGUUUACAAUGGACCAUUCCUAGCACACAUGACCAUUCCACAACAACGAAAAUAAAAAACAAAUUUAGAGAAAGAAAGAAUAACACAACAGUAGAAUUAUAUUAGGCUCUAGCAAGGAAUCACAUGACAAUGAGUACAAAAAGAAACAACUAAUUAAGACUUAACUAAAGCUGAAUUAUACUUAAUUUGACAAAUUGAAAGGCUAACAAAACUAAUAAUUGACUUGUCUAGGAGUAUGGACCUAACUAGAAGCAUCUAACACAAAGCUAAGGAGUCAAUCUGAAAGAAACCAAGAGAAGUCAAAACAGAAAACUAGGAAAGACAAUGGGCUAAAGUUGCAUUUUGUUUUAUUUCGUUUUUCUUCACUGUACCAAAAUGCCACAGCUGCUAUUUGUCAUUCUUCUUUUCUCCGAUUGGUUCUCAACUCUGGUCAGUUCGGACUUCCACCCUCUCCCACACAGAUUCCACACAAUAUACCCAAAUUAAAAUUCAGAAAGAAAAAGUGGAAAAAUUAGUGAAAAAGUGACAAAAUAGCAAAAACCAACACAAUUUCCCUCAACUCCAAUCACCCUCAUCUCUCUGUUAGCUUUCUCACAAUCUCACGGGCACUCGCACUUACAAACAGGUAGUGAGCAUGAAAAGUUUGAUACUUUCCUUUUUAUCAAUCCCUUGUACAGCUUGAGCCCGAAUUUUCAAUCUAAAAAUCUACUCAAACCUAUGAUCAAUUCCAGCCACUUAAAAUCGAUUAACAAGAUGAAAGUAUAGCAUAACUGACAUGAUUGCAGACAAAGAAGAAAACAAUACAAUAAAGGGAGAAAAAAGUACAAGAGUGCGGGAAACUUUACAGAGUGAUGAUUUCUGCUGUAGUGGCGGAACUCCAGUGAGGCGAUGGCAGCGACCUUUGCCUCCUCUACUCCUUGGCACGCCCAACCUGAGUAUCUAGUCAGUACGGAGAAGCAUGGGGAUGGGUUUCAGAGGAAAGAAGAAAAAGGAAAGAGCACGAUUAUCUGAUUUCUUAUUUUUUGUCCUAGCAAAGAGAACGAAGGCUUAUUUGUGCAGGUGUGGUGGUUGACGAGAAUAGCAAAGAAGCGGCCAAGUUAGCAACCGCAAAUGGGGGAGGGGGCGGCGAAGGCGGAGGCGGAGGUGGAGACGGAGAUGGUAAGGAGAAAAGGAAAAUAUGGGGUUGGAAAGAAAAAUAUAAACUUUUUGUUGGUUUGGUUCGAUAUAAAAGGUUUUCCUUAUGAAAAUCUUUUUGUCCAGGAAAAUACUUAAACCUUUCUUACAUUUUCCUGGAUCAAAAAUAAUUUUCAUCAUAUGUAAGAAGUAAAUCUUUUUGUCAGGAAAAUAAUUAAACUUUCUUAUAUUUUUCUGUAUUCUUUGGAUCAAAAAAAAUUUUCAUCAUAUGUACGAAGUGAUAAGUAACAACAUCAGGGAAGUCUGAACUGAAUUUUUUUUAAGUAGAUAUAAGUAGGGGUGGGCGUAGAUCGGAUACCCAUCCUAUUUACCAUUUGGCUGAUCCAACCCACUCUUUGCGGGUCAGUCAUUUUCUAACCUUUACCCUCCUCGCAUAUCAACGGGUACCCGAUUAUAAGGUACCCGCUAAGAGUCAAUGCGUAGCCGCCCUACCCCAUUUAUUAUUUAAUUUUUUUAAAAAUGAUUUAUACUAAUUUAUUUUUAUAUUUUACACCUUUAUCUAAAAUUGAAUAAAAAUUUUUUCUCAAAAAAAAUCUCCCACCAAGAAACAAGCAUGCGAAGAGAAUAUAAGAUAAAGGAAAAAAAUUAAAAGAAUUCAAAAUCAAUAAAAAAUUGAAAUAAGUAGCAUAUUUUUUAAAAUAUAUGUUCUACAUUAAUUAAAUUCUUUUCUACAAAACAUAAGAUUAUGACCUCUACAAAUAAGUCUUAUAAAUAAACUAUAGUCUCUCAUAUUUGUAAUGCAAUUUGUCCGAUGAAAUUACUUAUUUAGUUCGAAAUUAUUAUUUUAUAGUAUGUGUAUAAAAAUAAAAAAUAUAAAAAUAUAUAUGUUGAUGGGUCGGGUACUCGCGGGUUUUAAAUUAUAUGAUCCUAACCCGCCCCGCAUCUUAGCAGAUACUUGACCCUUUUUUGACUCGAUCAAAUAAUACAAAUCGGGUAUCCUAAUUUUCGGAUCGGAUAUGACGAAUUUUCGGAUUAACGGAUAAUUUUGCCCACCCGUAAAUGUAAGUGUAAGAUCCGAGUUAUCUCUCUUUGACACCCAACUCAUCCUUAUGGAAGUUGUUUUAUAACAAUUAGGGGAAAUUUUUUACAAGAAUUUUUUUUCAAUACCUUAUAUCUAAAUUGUUAUUAUUUUUUUUUUGAAUUUCUUUAUUUCCCCAUAUGGUUGUUGUUUUUCUUUUCGUUUUUUCUCCCAGUGGUUGUUUUAUGUCUUUCAACAUUUAUAUUCAUAUUGUUGUUCUUAAACAUUUUUAUUCCAAAUUAUUUACGUUUGGUUAUGGUACUUUCCUCUUUCCUUAACUAGCAUUUUUUUUAAUCUUUUAAGCCAAAAAUUUGUCUUUUUUAAAAGGUUUUUUUAUCCACAUUAAAUUUUUGAAACCAUUUGCAUUUUUGUCAAUUUAUCAUAUCCAUUACUUAAGUUGAGGACUUGUCAUUGACAAAGGGUGCCAUAAUUUGGUCAUAUUUUAGAGUUUAUUUUGGAGUUAAAUAUAGUAAGCCUUCUUACCAGUCCUUUGGUUGGGGGAAUAGGGGGGAUUUUAAUGGGAAUACUCAUUAAUGAUAGUCACUGUUAGCGUUUGAUACACUACUAUAAAUAAUCAAUCUAAUGAUAAUGCAAGAUCUAAAAGUGCGUAUUCCCGAUUCCCGACCAAAUUGGACACUUUUGCUUAACUAUCACCAAAAAAAAUUCCAAAAUAAUAUCUUUUCUCUCUCUUUUCUCUGGUCUCUCCAUUCUCCCAUCUCCCUUCUCUCUCACAUCUCAUCAGUUGCCUCUCUCUUUUUGGAGAAUUGGCGAGCUUUAUAUAACAAAAUAAGAAUUUACACCCUAAAUGUCAAUUUUCCCCUCUUAUCUUCCUCUACAAUUCUAAGAAGAUCAAGGGGAAAAUUUGACUCAAAAUAACUUUAUCAACCCUAUUGAGAUAAUUAGCCAUAAAGUCAGCAGUUUGAUUAUAUUGACGAUAUACAAAAAAUAUAGUCGACUCCUUGAAAUAUGAGAUUAAAUCCUUUAUAUCAGAAUAUACAACUAGAGCCUUCCAAGGACAGUCAAUUUUGCUAUUUAAGAUAUCUGCAGCAAGCUUUGAAUCAGUGCGAACCUCAACACGAUCCCAUCCUUUGAGUUUAGCAAACACCAAUGCUUCUUUAAUGGCUUCCAACUUGUGGGUUAAUAUUGAGUCAACGCCUACUCCAAUAGCCCCAGUUGCUAAGAUGUCACCAUUCUCAUUUCUAAGGAUGAAGCCUGCACCCCCUAUGUCUCCUCGAACUGAUCCAUCACAAUUCAAGCAUUUAAUUCCAGGUCUGGGAGCUUCCCAUUUGCACCAGAAUAUAGAUGCCUCUCUUAUUCCUCCAUCUUUCUUGCAAAAGUUUCAAACCCAAUCUCAAAGCCCAAAGCUCUUCUUAUCAAAUUCUCCAGGAAACUAGUUUACUCCUUAUAUUCAAAAUUCAAUGGCCAGGAACAUGUUGAGCAAAAAAUUGCUUUGAAAACUGAAGCUUUCAACUUCUCUCCAUUUUUCUUUAAUUACUUAUGGACUUCCAAGUACACGACAGCAGCGGUAAGUCUAUAGUCUUCAGAAUUAUCUAAGCUUGUCGAUAACUUGUUUCUUUUGGGUUUAGGGUUUUGUAUUUUUCUUUAGCUUUUUGUUGUUUAGAUAUGAUUCUAUUGAACUUUAUUUUGCCUUGGAUUUUUUAUUGGAGGUUCGGUAUUCUAAUAUCUAUAUCUAUAUAAAUUUGAGAAGGGAUUUUUAGCAACAAGUCUUCACAAUCCUUUCCACUCUCAACUCUAUCUUUCUAGUAUUUUACAUUUAAUUUAGUUCAUAAAAAACAUCAUGGGCACAUUACACCUCCACGUUUCCCUCAAACAAGAAAUUAACUCCAACUAAACACUCCCAAGUUUCCCUCAAACAAGAAGUUAAUUCCAACUAACUCUCCUCACACAUCUUCCCACUACAAUUAAACCUCUUCCAAUCCAAUUCCAUGAUAAGAUUGAGCAAGAUCUCUUUCCACUUACUGUUGGUAUCCUUAUUAGCCCGUGCGUGUCAGAUGGUGGUCAUGCCACUACUGAUUCCCAUAAAGGUAAUUCAAUUUAUUUUAUUUAAAUUUUAUAGUUUAUCAAUAAAUAUAGCACAUUAUGCAGGACCGUUACUUUAUACUAUUCGAGCAAGCAAAUUGUAUGUCAAUUACUAUUUGGAUUUUGCUCAAUACCUACACAGUUGGUAAGUUUUACAAAUACCAAAAUAUUAAAUUAUUAAUAAUAUUUCAUACCCUUACGAAUAUGUAAUUGAAAAAUUUGCAGGUUUGAGAAUGAUAAAUGUGCUCAGAAAUUAAUGACGUGGUUGCGGUCAUGCAGUUUUACAAUGUCCCAAGCAUUAUUGAUAUCAAAUACUAAGAGAAUAUGGAUAUCCGAAUAUGCAGUUAUACCUACGGUACAAUUCCUCUCAAUUAAUUAAGUAAUGAACAAGUAUCUACAUGUAGUUUCGAAUUAAUAAUUGUAAUCUAUACAUUCUUUGGAUUGUUUUAGAUUAAAUAUUUUCGGAUACUUGCUUACAUUUAAAGUAUCAAUAUAGACAAUAUGUUCUAUGAGUUAUGCAAAAAUGGUGGACAACCAUGUCAAUCUCAUUUUGCAAAAAUGGUGUGUAUCCAUUGUAAUGACGUAGUCGACACUAUUGUCAGGUAAUUAUUUUCAUAUAUUUUGAAUCUUAGUAUAAUUUUUUACAUCAUACAUCACAAUUUCUUCUUAACAGAUACAAUGUUAACAUAAAAGUUAGAGAUUUCAGUGGUAACCUAUACCUCGGUCUUCAAGACAGGCAUGCACGAUUCAUGUUUCGUUGUGAUGCUUCUUAUCUUAGAGAUUUAAAAACAAAGGUAUACAUUAUUUAUAUGUAUAUAUUUUUAUACAAUAUUAUUUACAAAUUGUCUAAAACAAAAGAUAAUUUUGAAUUAUGUAUGCUUUUAAUUGUCAGGAAAAUGGAGGUGCAUUGUUUGACCAACACAUUAAUUCAUGCAAAAAUCGUGCAUUCUCAUUUAUAGUACGAACUCCACAAAAAUCAAUAGAAUUAAUUAAACCCCCAAUAUUGGCGUUCGUACUCAUAGUUGAUUGGUGUGAAGAAUGUUCACACCUCCGUAGAAGAUUAUCAAAUCGAAGGCAAAAUGUUUGUAAGUAUUUCAUUUAUUUAUCAAAUUAAAUAUUCAAUUAUAUUUAAUUGGACCCUUAUGUCGCUCAAUUUAUGAUAUAGAUUUCUAUUUUUUUGCAGGAUUCAACCUUCAUCAAAGUGAUAGUUUAUAAAUAAUGGAGAUGUUUUUAUCAUAUAUUGAAUUAUUGUUACAAAGUUUCAUUUUUUUUAAAUAUACUUUCAUGUGCCCGUGAUUAUAAAAUUUUACUAUUUUUAAAUUCCUCUAUAGAUUGUAAUUUUUUUUUCAAAAAUUUAAUCUACUGUGCAUAGCACGAGUAUUUAUACUAGUGUGUUGAAUUCUAAAAUUGGGAUUGUUGGGUGUGUUGGAUUCUUCAUAGAUUAUUUACAGAUGGGAUGCUAAGACAUUGUGGAAGAAGGAAAUGCGGUGAAAGAAAUAAGAAAGCAAAGAAAUAUUAGUGGGAAAAACGAAGAAAAACCAAUAUAAAUUCUCAUUGAGGUGACAAACCAAACAAGUAAAAAGGAAUGCCAAAAACCCAUUAUCAUUGAGGGGGGCUUUUGAUAGUGAUUAUCAUUAUCAGUAUCAUUCCCAAGUAAGAACCAAACAGGCGGUUAAUCUUAUAGUUUCGAGUGUUUUACCCACUAAAUGAACGGUUAAACAUAACUGUUGAAUUGAAGGAUAUAAGUAUCCCUAAGUUAGUAAUUGUAGUCUACCCCCAUUAACUAUGAUUGUAGUUGCUCUUUGUCUCAUGAAGAAUUUUAUUCAAUUUAUCUCGUAAUUUAUGUUUUAAGGAUAAAAUUACCCUUGAUAUUCUACUUAUUCUCUUUUUUUUUCCCUUUUUAUUUCUUCAGUCACUCUCACUUAGUUUUUUUUUUUUUUGUAAUUCUCCAAUUUUUUAUUCUCUUUCUUGCCUCUACAAAACAAUAUAUUAUUGCUAAUAGUUGACUAACCACAAAGCUUAAAUUUUUACAUAUAUCUCAAUAAAUAUUUUUUGAAUUAAAUUUCUUAGUUUUCUUUAUUUUCUUUGCCUUAAUCUUUUCCUUUAUCAAAUUUUUUUAAGUUUUCACCAUUAAUAAUUAAUCACAAACUCAAUGUAAAUUUUGUUAUUAGUUGUGGUUAUUUCAUUGCUUGUAUGACAAAUCGUAUAAAAUCUAGAAAUUGAAAUACAUACAUACAUAUAUAUAUAUAGAUUUUUUUAUUAAUCAAUUUUUAAUAGUGAUAUGACAGCUUAGAAAUGACAAUACUGGAUGGUAGAAAAAUGAAAGAGAAAGGAAAAAUUAAACAAAGAAAAGAAGAUAAAGGAGCAAAUGAGGAGUAAAGGAAAAUAAAUUUAAUUAUAAUAAUAGGAAUAAAAUGCCAAAAUCAUAUAUUGGCGGACAAAGUACACUUGCAAUCAUAGUUCAUGGGAAUAAACUGCAAAUUAGCGUUUUUGUUAAGGUUGAAAAUGAGGGAAAUUUUGGAAGUUCAGACAUUAUUGAAUAGUCAAAAUUGAUUUUCAUUAAUGAAGUGGGCAAAUUACUUUAUACAGGGCAAAGUGUAAGUCAUCCCAAACAUUAAGGGGAUUUAAUGCUAUUAACCCUUCAUUUUGAUGCGGACAAAUUUUAGGGAAGACAAUUGUAAUUAAUUCUUAAGUUUUAAGCUUUUACUUAUUCUACUAUGAAUUGUUAGAGUAUCUUGAGUUUUGAUUAAUUUUGAGACUAUAGUGAGUUUUGCUUAAUAUUGGAAGCUAUUGAGGGAAUGAACAUUGGAAUAUUUUUAUUCUAGUAGUGGGUUUUUAGGAUAGUUCACUAAUGAUUUGUUUGGUCAAUAUAAUAUUAAUGUAAAGCAUAAUUAGGAAAAUGAUAAAUGAAUAUUAGAUACUAACUCGUACUUGGCUCCCGAUAUAGUAUCCCUUGUAAAUCUUGACCAUUCUAAUUUAUCAAAUAAUUAACAACAAUUGAUUUUAAGAAAAGAGGAGAUUAUAAUUAAUGCUAUAGAAAAUAAUUAAUCUUAUAUUUGGAGAGUCACGAAGUCAAACUGUCUAUUAAUGCAUACACUGUUGUUUGAAACAAUAAAAAGGUUGAAUGCUACUGACAACUUGUAUAAUUCUAAUCCAAUUAAAAAAUUUUAUAUAAAAUUUGAGGUAGGAGAAGUAACGAGAAAGGGGGAGAGCUUGCAGAUGGCAAUGGGGCGGGAGGAGCGGGGGACAGUAGACAGGGCGGGGGCGAGGGGAAUUUGUAGGCCCGCCCCAAUCUCGCCUUGUUGCCAUCCUUAAUUGUGCCCAUGCAUCUGCAAUCAUGUCAUAUAAACGGCCCAAGUGCCUCAUCACAUUUUAAGGAAUUGUAAUCUCCAUAAUUCCAAUAUUAAUGGUUUUUGAUCACUACAAUGAUUAUAGUUUCUAUUAGCCAUGAACGGGUUUAGAAGGUUGUUAUGUUCCUGUGAUUUGAUUGAUUCUGAAUUCUUAUCUUUUAUUAAUAUUUCAUUCGGCUUCUUUUCUUUUCACAUUAACCUUUAAGCCAUUUAUAUUAAGUACCAAAAUUGAUGUUUUGGUAACGGGUUGGCCAUUCUUUUGUUUACAUAAGAUCAACCAAGAUUUGAUCUUCUCUAUUUUCAAGUUUUUGAAUGUCAUCAUAUUGUCGAUUUUUUUUUUUUGCAUUUCGAAUUAUUAAUCACCGAAUUAGAUGUUUAAAUUUACAUUAUAAGACUAUUUUUGAAUAACAAUGUAUUUAAGAAAGGUUAUAAUAGAUUAUACAAUAAGUUUGUAUUUUAUGAAAAUAUUUUUAUGAACUACACUAAAUAAUUUAUUAUUUUUAGACAAUUCCCAUUCAACGAAUGGGUACAAAACUAGUUAAUUAAUAAAGAUAAAAAGGAAGAUGCCCCACUUUAUAACCACCCCCUAUUUUUCCUCUCUUCCGCGAAUAAAGUUAAUCCUAGGACCUAUACUAUUCGUUUUGAAAUCUGGUGUUGAUAUUUUUUUUUAUUAUAGCAAUAGUGAUAAAUAAAUAUCAUACAUCAUAAAACUCAUUCUGUAUUUUUAACUUGUAUACAACUUUUGACCCUCUUUUCUCCUUUGUCUUUGCAUUUCCUUCAUUUGUUUACCAUAACAAAUUUUAUACCACUAAUUCUAUCGUACAAACACAACCAACAUACAAGUCAAUUUUCUUUCAUGAAACUGAUUUAUUCUAAAAAAAAUCAUUUCAUAUAUUUAAAUCAACACUUAUAUAAUUAAGUAUCAGCAUAUAUUUCUCACAAAAUAUUCGGAUUAAGCGGUAUAGUUGUUGUUGCUCGAAUACUACGAGAAACACCUACAAUGAAUAGUAUUAUUUUAAAUACAUAUUUUAAAAUCAAUAAAAUUGAAAAUACCAUACCUACAAUAAGAAACCUUAAUAAACCCACCAUUUAAUUUAUAGAUUGUUUGCAUACAAAUUAUAAUAACUAAUAUUUGUAUUGUUUCAAUUUUAUAGAUGUCCUCGAAAGGACAACAAUUACCCCCAUGCACAAUUUUCGAAAAAUGUACUCGUUCCACCUUCAUAAAACCUUCCCAUAUAGAGAAUAUAAUAUGCCUCAUUCUAUAACAAUAUAAUCAAUUAAUUCAUGCGCAAGACACAAUAAUCUUAUUAUACCCGAAAGGUAAAUCAUGAAAUUUACUGCUUAUUGAUUACUACAAAUUCUUGAUGAUCGUGCCUUUCUUGUACAAUUACAUUUUGAAAUAAAAGUGCAUGAGUUAUCAAAAAGUGCAUCAUAUAUUCUAUACAACUCAAAAAAUUAAUCCAAUGUUUGAUCAUCAAUCACAUAAACAACGCCUUGCAUUCUAUCAUCUUGCUAUUGAAUACAUAAAUAUACAUAUUAAUCGAACAAAUUAUAAUUAACUUAUAUAAUUCCAAAUACAGAAUUAAUUCUUAUUGAUCCAUCAAAAAAUACAAAUUGCUGAUAUAUUCUAUCUACAAUUCUCAUAUGCUGAAUAGGGUUAUUCUCAAUUAUAAUCAACCUUGAUGCCUGGCCACAGAGCUUAUCAUUCAACUGACUCAUCAUCGUAUAAUUUGUUAUAAUCUACAUUCCUAAAAGAAAAAAAUUUAAGUAAAUCAAAUAAUUGCAACAAAAAUCAAAACUAACAAAGAAAUUAAUUUUAUAAGAAACCACCAUCUCAAAUUAUUACUCCAGAUAUAUAUAAAAAUAGGCUAGACUACUCUCCCGAACACAAAAGAUUUCCCAACCAUGUCCUUAUAUAAUAAAGUAUAAAAUACACAAAACCCCCUUGUGGUUUGGUCUAAGCUUGUGAGAUCUCUCUAUUAUUUAAAAAUAACUAGAAGACCCCAUUUUAGUUUGGACUUAUUUGGGAAAUGAACAAAAACCAUGCAAACAAUAGAGAGUGAACUGUACACUCUUGAUACGCAAGUAUGGAUGACAAUGUAAGAUGGUAAUUUGAUGUUGAUUUUACUUUUCUUUUUCUUUUCUUUUUUUUUUCUUUUUGUUUUCUUUUCUUCUUUUUUAUUUCUAAUUUUGCCCUUGUUUCAGCAAACUAGAAUCCCAUAAGCAAAAAUAUAGUUGUGCGACCAUCGGCCCAUUCGGCCACCACUGUGCCGGCUGCCACGGCUUACUCUCGAAACUUUAUCAAAUAUGCAUCCCGAGCUCUAUUUGUGGUGCAGAUUUAUUUCCGGUGUCCAAGUUGGUCAAAAAUGGAACAAGAAGUAGUAAAAUAGGUUUAGAAUCAAAAUGGAUCUAACCCUCUUUGUACCCUCAAAUCACAACCAAAUCUUGUACAAUUUAGUACUAAGAUGAUCUUCAAGAGGCAUCAUAUAGAUAUGUAUCAUCAAGUGGUGGUGUUAAUGCCCUUUCUACAGAUGAUGGCUUUAAGGAUUUUGCUGUUAGUAAUCCUACUAUUGGAGUCUCAGUGGUUCUGAUUCGUUGUGUAUUGAGAUAUGUAAGCGAUUUAUUGCAAAAUAUGUAUGGUCAAAAAAACACAUAAUUGACUUCAUUUAUUUGACAUGCUUUUUUUAAUUUUAAUUACUUUACAUAAGAACUAUUUACAUGAAAUUAUAAAGUAUUAGAUACAAAAUAAUUAUUUCUUCUUUUUUUUUUUUGUGAUAGGCAAAUCAAUCCACCUUACUAUGCUGGAAGUCAUUCUGGGAGUCAUUUUGAAAACAAAAAUGGAUUAUGUCAGAGAUUAUUAUUCGAGGAAAAAGCUUUAGUAAGACCUCCUAUGAUUUGUAUACAAGUUAAUAUACGAAUAGUAUUAUACUUAAUUUUUUUGGUACAUUUUUAACCCUUUUUUUUUGUGAGGAGUUUUAUAGCCCCUUUAGAGUACCAUACCCAUGAGUUUAAUUUUACUGUUAGAAGUAUAAAAGAGAGCUAUCACCCCUUCAAUGAUAAUUAAGCAUUUAAAUUACCAAAGAAUGUAGCUAGGGCUAUUUUUUUUUUCUACUUCAUGUAUUAGUUAUAGCUAUAUGCUAGGGUGAGGGCAAAGGAACGACCCAAAAGGAUCAAUGGGAAGUUAUCGUGUCGACAAAAGACAAAUGUUAGUUAUAGCUUACUUGGUCAUCUCUACCUUUAGUUUUAUAAACAAACUAGUUUUAUACCUGUUCGUUGAACGGGAAUCGUCGAAAAAAAAACUAUUUAGUCAAUUUUAUAAAAAUGUCGAUAUAAAAUACAAAUUUAAUGUAUAAUCUAUUAAAACUUGUCUUAAGUAUAUUACUAUGUGCGCAUUGUAAUAUAAAGUAUUCUUAUAAUAUAAAUUUGAACAUCUAAUUCAGUGAAUAAUAAUUCAAAAAUGGAAAAAAUAACAUUCAACAAUACCAUAACAUUCAAAAACUUGAAAAUAAAUAAAAAGUACGGUAAAUAGUAUCAAAUAAUAUUCUAUUCUUCAUAAACUUGUUUUUGUUUUUCUUCUGUUUGAACAUUCUCUUCGAUUUGUCCAUGCAACUCAGCAUUUAUUGAUUUUCCAUUAUCACUGCAUGAUAGCAAAGCAGGAUAACUAAAUAUAAAAAAAAAUAAAUGAUUUAUCGCAUUCAAGGUUGUGUUCUAUUAUUUUUUCAGCUUCUUGAUCAAAUAUAACAAACCAAGCACUAUUGGUUGCAUCACUUGCCAAGACUUUUAACAUAUACCUGUAUAAAUACACAUAUUGUGACGGCCCCACCUCCCCCUAAGGCGAACCAAAGAGUUCGGCGAACCGCCUGCCCAACUCUCGCCGGGACUCAGUCGUUCACUACAGUCCUCAAUUGAAUCACAAUAUAUAUCUCAAAUAUAUAUCAAAUGUUCCACAAAUUCACAUACACUACAAACUAAAACCUCAGGAGAUACAAGAAAUAUUAAUCUUCCGAAUAAGACAAAGGUCCUCAGUUCUCACAUAAGUACAAGUACAAGCGCAAUCUCAAAUAUUACACAAGAUAAAACUAGAACUCCAACUGUACAGUAGAUCAUCCAUCCAUUCACACGGAGAACUUUAAUACAAAUGCUUCCUUCACCUCAAGCCCUGUGGAGGGGAAUAAAAUAGUUUUGGGGUGAGCUAGAAGCUAAGCAAGUAACCAGUAAAAUCAGUAAUCAAAUCAGUUUCUCAAUAGUUCAUUUCAAUGAUAUCAUGAUUCAGUAAUCAAAUGUACAUUUAUUACUCUCGUGAGCCAGUGAAAUCAUUGUACUUAAACAUCCAACGCUCAAAUAGAUCCGUUAACAGUAAAAUAGUGAUAGGGAGCCUUUGGUGCUCCAGAUGAACAGUAAACAGUGGUGGAGACGUUGGUUCUAAACACAAGACUUCCCAAGAACUCAUUGAAGCCAAAUCAUAUCAUGAACUCACAUGCAAGCACACAUGAUAUGCAAUCGAGUAAAUAAUGCAAGAAACAGUUCAUAAGUAGCUUUGGAAACAGUUUGGGGUCACUCACCAACCACGGCUCAGGAACCUCUUCUAUUAUAGACAAUUUUGUGGAUCGAACUUAAGCCCUUCAGUUCAAAUUCAAAGCAACCAAACACUCUCAAAGAUCGGACAGCAUUUCCCCUUAAAUUCUUCAUUUCCAUCCUACAAUCAAAUACCCAAUCUUACGAGAAUCAAUCACAAUCACACAUUCGGUUUAUAAACAAUAAAACACGUCCAAUUAGGCCACAAUACCCUUCAAUCAAAGCCAAUUAGAAACUCAAAAGCCAACCAUUAGAAAACCCCCAAAUUAAACCCUAGAAAGCGAAAUUUCCGCACAAACCAGAAAUUUUUCGCAAACGAUCGCAAUUAACGCACAAAAGCUCCAUUUAACACCAUUUAGAGCUAUCAAUCCAAGACCAAUUCAUGAUUAUAAUAUAAAAUCAGAAAAAUACCCAAUAAAUCAGAAAUUGGACCAACUUGAUUUAAAACCAUGAAAUCAUCCACAAUAUAGCAUAUUUAACCACUAUAAACCGCUAAUAUACCAUUAUUAAAAUAAAAGGGAACUUUCUUAACAACUCACCUCAAAUUCAAGAAAGCUAACACCUUAAAGCUUCCCCUUCCAAAACAACUCCAUCAACCUCUUCAAACUUCCAUAGUGAGCCCUUGUAUGGAGUAUUUUCCAAAAUUAUUGGUGAAAUCUCAAGAUUUUGGCAAAGAUUGAAACUAGGAAAAUUGAGAGUUUUUCUCUCUAUGAUGCACGGACAGGCCAAGUGAAGAAAUGAAAAUAUUUUGGGCCAAAAACAAUAUAAGAAGGAAGAAAAUCAGCUGGUCAAAAUUGAUGACCGACAUGCCACGUCACAAUCCAGUCAGAAUCUGGCCGGAUUCAAGGCAGUGGCAAAAAUCAUUUUUUUCAAAACUCCAAGGCAAUCCGGCCAGGUAUCCGGCCAGGCCAAAAACAAAGCUGACCAGACUUUUUUUUUCUUUUUUUUUCUUUUCUUCUUCCAGGCGUCACACAUAUUCUAAAAGUUAUGUUUAUGUAGAUAUUGUAGCAAUUAAAAUGAUAAAAAGGUAAACACCUACGACAUACCUCAAUUUAGGAUACUCCAUAUUUUGAUUGCAAUCAUUACACAAUUUAGGAUACUCCAUAUUUUUCUUACAAUACAGGGCCUUGAAUGUCGACUACUGACAACAUUUGAGAAUACUCCUUGGAUGUUGACUACUGACAGCAUUGAUAGUGGUAGCUAAUAUUCUGAAUGUAGAUAGAAUUUGCUUCUAAACUUCUUGAUUAUGGGAGCAAGGAAUUGAUAUAUUCUGCAAAGCACUUUCAUGGUGCUAUUUAUGAAGCAUAGACUAUAAGUGUAUACAGCCAAUAGUUGUCAGAAGUUCAUGUUGUUUAAGUGAUCAGGUUCUUGACCUCUCUUCUAUUUAAACUAUGUUGGUAAGACAUAAAGCUGGAUACUUUUUAAAAAAUCCUUGUGAAACCAUUCUCAAGUGGAUUAAUUAAGUAAACGGCCAGAGUCUUGUAAUUAAUUAAUGAAUUUGUAGAUAUUUCUAAUAGAGAUAUUUAAGUCUCUUGUAUUUAUAUCGCAUUACUUUUCGGUGCCUUUUGUUUUUGGUUGUUUUUCCUAAAAAAAAAUUAACAAGCAUCUUAGCAUAUGAUCACAAAAAUCAAUUAACAAACAUGUUAGCAAGAAUCUUACAAAAAUAACGAUGAAAAUACUUGUUUAAAUCCUAUAUCUUCAUACAAAACAAACAGAAAAUAAAACGAAAAAAAUAAAAUUCAAGAUAUGUUAUUAAACUCUUAUAAUUGAAGAUCAACAUACCUUUUUAAAAUAUAUAUAUAUAUUGAAAGAAGAUGUACCUGAUAAUCAAGAGGAGUGAAAACCAAAAAUCGAUACUUUAAUGUACCAACCGUUUGCACUGAAAAUACCUAACCAUGAAUUUGAUGCUUGAAAUCAAUAUAUUAGAGACUAUAUAUAGUGUAGGGAUAAGAAAUAAGAAUUGAUAAAGAUAUAAAGAGAUAUUGAUAAGAAUAUUAAAAGUAAGUUUAUCUUGAUUUAAGUUGCUUAAAGUACAUAAGUUUGAAUAGAAAAUAAGAAUCCUAUAAUAUUAAAAAUUCUUAUAGGAAAUAAAAAUUGAUAUUAAUCCAAGCAAAAAAGAAGUAAGUCACGUUGAAAAUUACUUGACGUCUCGUUAAGCCACGUAGAAAAGAGAAAACAUGAAAAGAUAAGAAUGAAAAUACGACUUUAUUAUAUAUAUAUAUAUAUACAUACAUAUGAUUUCAAAAUACGAACAGAUUUUGUUGUUCCAUCAGCAUCAGGAUUUAAAAGAUGGACCAAACCUUCUCCAAAUUAAUUCGCUUGAGACAAAUGGGCUUUAAAACUGGUUUGUUUUAUAUUCUUUUACAAUAAACUUUAAAUAAGACAUAACAACCCAGUAAGAACAUUGGUAAGUUAUAAACGUGUCGUUCAGAUUCAUAAUUGAUGAAUUUAGAAUUUUAAAGCUGCCAAACUAAAAUAUUCAUGGGUGGAUUUACAGUUUCAAAAAAGUUAAGAGGUUAUUAUACAAUAUCUCAAAAGUUUAAAGCAUAAAAGCCAUCAAACAAUUACAACAAAUUCCUACUCCUGUUAGCAAUUGCCUUUUGAGUAAACUUGUGGGGCUACUUUAGAUUCUGUGUAAGUGUUUCUUUGUGCUGUUGAAAGAAAAAA
rnacentral:lncRNA from 1 species